GUUAUUUGGAUAUCUGGAGCCCUGGGAGUGCACCCGGUCUGGAAAUUUGGAGUUCGAGUGCAAGGUAUAGUGCCUUUUUUUCUAUGUGUGUGUGUAUAUAUGUGUGUGUGUGUAUAUAUAUAUAUAUAUAUAUAUAUAUAUAUAUAUAUACACACAUACACUGUCUAGGUGUAUUUUACUAUUAAAAUAUAUAUAUAUAUAUAUAUAUAUAUAUAUAUAUAUAUAUAUAUAUUAAAUUACACGUAGACUGAUACUGAUUAAAUAUAUAUAUAAUUGUUAUAUAUAUAUAUAUAUUUAUAUAUAAUAUAAAAAAAAAUUAAUUAAAAAAAUAAUUUAAAAAAUAUAUAGAUGUGUUAUUUCGUUCUAACUGUAUUGUGAUAUUAAUAUAUAUAUUUAUAUCAAAAUACACGUAGAACGAAAUAAUAUAUAUCUACAUACAUAAAUAUAUACGUAUAUAUCACUAUAUAUAUAUAUACCUAUAUAUAAAUAAAAAUAUUUUUAAAAAAUUAUAUAUAUACACAUAUAGAUUCACAUACGUGUAUAUCCAUAUACAUAUAUUAAUUCUACAUAUAUAUUUAUGUAAUAUUUUUACAUAAUUAGGUAUCUUAAUUAAUUACAAUUAGCGGGACCUGCCUGACAACCCAUGCCGAAAGUAAAGGGAAUUUAAUUUGCUAGCACUAUAUUUAACCCUAUAACUUUCCAAGACACCAUAAAACCUGUACAUGGGGGGUACUGUUCUACUCGGGAGACUUCGCUGAACACAAAUAUUAGUGUUUCAAAACAGUAAAAUGUAUUACAACGAUGAUAUCGCCAGUAAAAGUGAAGUUUUUUGCAUUUUUCAUGCACAAACAGCACUUACACGGACGAUAUUAUUGCUGUGAUACUUUUUACUGUUUUGAAACACAAAUAUUUGUGUUCAGCGAAGUCUCCCGAGUACAACAGUACCCCUCAUGUACAGGUUUUAUGGUGUUUUCAAAAGUUACAGCGUCAAAUAUAAGGCUUGCGUUUCAUUUUUUUCACAUUAAAAUUCGCCAGAUUGGUUACGGUGCCUUUGAGACCCUAUGGUAGCCCGAGAAUGAAAAUUACCCCUAUGAUGGCAUACCAUUUGCAAUAGUAGACAACCCAAGGUAUUGCAAACUGGGUAUGUCCAGUCUUUUUUAGUAGCCACUUAGUCACAAACAUUGGCCAAAAUUGGCGUUUUUUUGCAUUUUUCACACAAACAAAUACUAACGCUAACUUUGGCCAGUGUUUCUGACCAAAUGGCUACUAAAAAAGACUGGACAUACCCCAUUUGCAAUACAUUGGGUUGUCUACUAUUGCAAAUGGUAUGCCAUUAUGGGUGUAAAUUUCAUUCCUGGGCUACUAUAAAGUCCCAAAGGCAACGUAACCUAUCUGGCAAAUUUCAAUUUCAAAUGUAACGUGCUAUAUUUGACCCUGUAACUUCCCAAAACGUCAUAAAACCUGUACAUAGGGGGUACAUUUUUACACGUGAGACUUUGCUGAAUACAAAUAUGUGUAUUUUAUUGCAGUAAAAGCAAACAAUAUUAUGACAUUGACAGUUAAAAUGUCAUGUAGAACUAAAAAAAAUUAUAAAAUUCUUAUUUUCUCCCUUUUUUUUCCAUAUUAAAUUAUGUUUCAUAGCUAAAUAUUUGAUAUUAAAUGAAAGCCCUGUUUCUCCUGAAUAAAAUGAUAUAUAAUAAGGGUGGGUGCAUCUACUAUGAAAUAGGUGAAUUACGGUUGGACAGACAUGUAGCGCAAAUGCCAGGUUUUGUUUACAUUUUGUUUCGUUCACAACGUGUACAUUUGGCUCUGUCCUUAAGGGGUUAAUUUGAUGUCACAUAUACAUAGAUACAUUCUCAUUAAUUAUAAAAAAAAAAAAAAAUAGCCACAAAAUGGGGAAAUGUUUUUGUUUUUUUUUCACAGUUUUGGCAAUAAUCGCGUGUGCAUAAUAUGUCCAGCUUAGAAAAAGUAAUUGAAAAUAAAUUCAUUUAUGUGUCUUGAUUUAUAGAAUACAUAAUAUGUAUAGGAUUUCAGCUUAUUUUCCAAGUUACAGGUCACAAAAAAAGACUAAAAUAAAAUUUUAAUGUGAAACAAUUUUUUAAAAGUUGGUAUGUUUGUCUUGUAGGUUUAGUAGCCACCACAGAGAACAAAAUUGCCACACAAAAGUAUAUAUUUAUAUAAAGUAGACAUCACAGGCUAUUUACCUAGGGUUAGUUUGUCACUUUUCACGUAACCAUUUCAUUGCCAAUCUCUGCUAAAUAUUGGAGUAAAAUUUAGUUUUUUCUCUAUUUUGGCAUAUACACAUAUAACAAAGUUUUUGUAAUGUGUAUUUCGUAAAGCUGGAGUGUGCUAUUCUUGCACAGAACCCAAUAUUGUAUUCAGCUACCUCUGCUGAGUAUAACGAUACCUCAUUGUAUGCCUUUGGCACUUUUCCGUAAAGCUACAAUGCCAUAUAAGAGACAACGCUAUUUCAGUUUCUAUAGCUAGAAUUUUCCUAGAUGGAUUUGACUGGCCUAUGUCUCAUUUUAGGGUAUUACAGCAGUGUGACUAUUCAAAUAACCCCACAAUGGGCUUUCAUUUGAUAAAGCAGACACCCCAGGGUAUCUAUUAUGGUGUAUAUCGUGCCUUAACUUGUCACCAUUUUAUCACCAAUUUAUGUCAAUGUUUGUGGUGGGGGGUUGGGGGGAGGGGAGUGCAUUUUUACAUAUAUGUUGCAUUUUUGUUGAGCAUUUCUUGCAUUUGAUAUGUACCACUGUCAUAAAAACCCACAAGUUAUGCUCAGUUACAUCUUCUGAGUAAAACAAUAUGCCCAAUGUAUGACCUAGACACUAUUUUGUGAAGUUGCAGAGCUGUAAAAGAGAUGUGACAAGUUCAGGUUUUUAAGUGUGAAUUUUCAUGGAGGGUUUUAAUGCGUCCAUGUACCACUUUGGAGCACAUGAGCAGGCUAACUAUUACAAUAACACCAUAAAGGAAUACAAUUUCUUAAAGAAGACAUCCCAGGGCGAUUCAAAAGGCAUGUUUUGAACCUUAGCGUGGGAUAAUUUUUCCUCUGCCUUGUACCAAGUGUAGUGGUAAUAAGCAUUUUUUCUGCCUUUUUGACACACAAAGUGAGUUUGCGCAGUAUAUUUUGCAAACCUUAUGUGUGCCACGACUGUAUAAUACUUCAUAUGUUGCUCAGCUAUGUCGGCUGAGUACAGCAAUACCCCCGUAUGCACUUUUGCCAGGUAUAUGUGGACAUGGAAGAGGCACAUUUGAGACAAAGCCAUUACAGUUUUUUUCAAACUUUGAAUUUUUAUGCUGUGUCCAUGUCCCAUUUUAGAGUAUUCUACCAGGCUAUAUAAUCCAAUUACCCCAUAAAGGCAUACCAUUUCUCAAAGAAGACAUCACAGGGCAAUUUAAAAGGCAUAUUUUGAACCUUAGCGUGGGAUCAUUUUUCCGCUAGCUUGUACCAAGUGUAGUGGUAAUAAGCAUUUUUUCUGCCUUUUUGACACACAAAGUGAGUUUGCGCAGUAUAUUUUGCAAACCUUGUGUGCUACGACUGUAUAAUACUUCAUAUGUUGCUCAGCUAUGUCGGCUGAGUACAGCAAUACCCCCGUACGUACCUUUGCCAGGUAUAUGUGAAUGUUGAAGAUGCAGCCAUUCAGUUUUUUUUCUAACUUUGAAGUUUUACGCUGUGUCCAUGUUCCAUUUUGGAGUAGGUUAGCUGGCUGGUUAUUCAAACUUCCCCACAAACACAUACUAUUUAUGAAAGAAUACACCACGGGGUAAUUUAAAAGGCAUAUUGUGAACCUUAGCAUUAGAUCAUUUUUUCGCUAGUAUGUUCCAAGUAUAGUGGUAAUGAGCAUUUUUUUAAUGUAUUUUUUUACUUUGUAAAACUCGUUUUUAAACUUUUUUUUUUUUUUACUUAUUAAAUGUUUUAAAUUUUUUUAGAAACUUUUCUUUCACCGUUAACCACUAACUAGCAGUAAGCAGCACUAACAGUAAAUUCCCCACUUUCACAUAACUCCCACCCACCCCAGCUAGCAAAAUAUACAAUUAUAAAAUAUUUAAAUUAAUUAAAUAAAUUGAACCCCUGAGGGUUAAAAAAUAAAUAAGUUAAUCAUCAAGGGUUAAAAAAAUUAGAUCACUGUAUAAUCCUGUGAUCUGUAUUUUGAUCACUGUAGGCAGUGAUCAACUGGCAGGGAAGGGGUUAAUUUUUAUUUGGACUGGGUAAAGGGGGGUGAUAUAUAUAUAUAUAUUUUUUUUUUUUUACUUAAACAUUACUAAAAUAUUUUUUAAAAACUUUUUAAAGCUUAUUUUAAAACUUUUUUUUAACGUUAACCACUAGUUAGCCUAACACCAAAUCCCCCAAUUCCCCACUAACUUCCAACCAUCUCAGCCAGCUAAAUAUAUAAUUUUUAAAUAUUUAAAUUAAUUAAUAAAAUUAAUUUAACCCCUGAGGGUUAAAAAAAAAAAAAAAAAUAACCCUCAGGGGUUUAAAAAAAAUCAAAUGACAGUAAAAUGUAAUCCCUGCCAAUUGAUCACUGUAGUCAGUAGUCAAUUGGCAGGGAAGGGGUUAAUUUUAUUAAAGCAGGGGAAAGGGGGGGUGGGAUUUGAUUUUUUUUUUUUUUUUACAGGGAGAAGAGGAUCGAUCAGCACUGAUCCGCCUUCCUGCACUUCACAGUGAACCCGGAUGUGCAGGGAGGUGGAUCGUGAGUCCCUGCAACACGUGCUCGCUCUGACAGCCUGUCAGAGCGAUCACUGCUGCAGGGGCAGCGUGAUCCGGUGCUCCCAGUCUGCCUCGGAUACUAAGGCAGACCGGGUAAGCAUUAACCCAGCGACCGCAGCAAUCGUGGCGAUCUGGGGUUAACCUUAGUAAAUGACGGAAAUUUUCCGUCAACGGUCCUUAACUGAAGGACAAGGUUGAUGGAAAAUUUCCGUCUCCAGUCGGGAAUGGGUUAACAGAGACUUAAUUAAUAAGUAAUCAUUGAGCUUAAAGAAACAACUUAAUCCUCUAAAUAUUCAGCUUCUGGCAGUCAGGCUUGAAGGGGACCUUCUCUUACUGGGAAUCAGCAGAACCAGCAGUACUCGUCCUUAUUACAGGUGGGUAGUGCUCCAAGUGAGACCAAAUUUUCUCUUCUUUUAUAACAUUACUAAUAAGAUGGAUAGUCUGUACUUUUCCAUUAAAUCUCCUUAUCAGUGCAGCCCAGCAAAGACCUUGCAAAAGCGUUGGAUGGGACCGAAAGCUGGCCAGGCUGAUCAGGCCCACCAACAAUCCCAUGCCAGGUCUGUGCGAUUUAAUUAUCUAUUAUCUAAAAAGCUAGCUCUGUUCUCAUAAUAUUCUCGUGAUGGUAUGCAUGGGUCAUUCUGGUGCGGUGUUUUGUGGUUUUAUUAACACUUUCAGUGCUGUGUGCCGGCGCCAUCUUAACUAUAUAUAAAAGUUUGAUUUGCUCAAUAGUGAUCAAUCAUUCUUAAUUAAUAUGGACUAUUAUCACACGCGUCCACCCACGGUGAUGACGACCAUGGCCUGCUUGUGACGUCUCGCAGGAGACGCGCGUGCGUUCUGGGGUCAAAGGCUGAUUUCGGCCUAUCAGAUUUGUAAAUGGCUUAUUUAAACGCAUUUUUACUUCUCCUCUUUUCCCUGUCGUGGUUUCCCUAGUGGUUGUCCGAGAGUGUGUUUCUGAGCGUUUAUUUUCUGGUUAUUGACUUUGGCUUCAUUUGACUUUCCUGUGUUCUGGUACCCCUGACUUUUGGCUUCCCCUCAUCGUUUUGUCUCAUUCUGUGUCCCCGACCUUAAAAUAUUCUGACUAUUCUCUGGUACAUUAAGUCCGGCCAUUCUAAGGCCUGGUAAGACGUUACCUUUUAGUCCUAGGUGUGAUACAGUUCUACGUGCUGGAUCAACUUGUAAUCCUGACAAGAUCAGAGUGAGGGGGAGAGGGAGAAAAAAAAACAAGCAGACAGUGCAGUAGAUGGCACACUUUAUAUACACACACUCACAAAUAUAUAUAUAUAUAUAUAUAUAUAUAUAUAUACAAAAACAUGAAUACAUGUACAUACAUGCACAUGAACUCAUAUAAAUGUACAGUCACAUAUAUAAGCAUACAUACAUAAGAGUAUGGGAAAGCAUAGGUCAUCACAUAGUACUUUGUACAUUAAUAGAAUAAACAUAUUGGAAUGCUUUUGGAAGUGUUGAUACAUCUGACAGAACAGUAAGAUAAUUUGGGGAGUGUUCAUGUAAAGUGUUGGUAGUAGGACAGCAAACCCAAAUCAAUAUUUAGUCCUCUAUUCUUGCUGUUAAACAAAUAGAUCAUUCUGACUUCAAAUGUUUUUCUUUCUUGGGUAUUUUUAAAACCCCCUUUCAGUACUUUUAUUUUUAGGUCCUUCAUUGGGUGGCCAGGCUGGGUAAAAUGGUGUCCCACAGGAGUGCAAUACGAUUCUUCUUUGUGGUGUUUAAACUAGGGAUCGACCGAUAUAGGUUUUUUUUAGAGCCGAUAAUCUGUGAACUUUCAGGCCGAUAACUUGCCGAUAUUCUGUACAUUUACCAUUUUGAAAAAAUAAACUAUUUCUAAAGGUAAAUGCACAAAAUAUACAUGCCACAUGUAGUGGAUGCAGUGUGUUUAGACAGGGAAGCUGUGUGUGUGUGGAGGAUGCAGUGUGUGUUUGUGUAGUGUGUGUGUGUAUAUAAUGAAUGCAGGGUGUGAUUGUGUAGUGUGUGUGUGUGUGUGUGUGUGUAUAUAUAUAUAUAUAUAUAUAUAUAUAUAUAUAUAUAUAUAUGUGUGUGUAAAGAGAAUGCAGUGUGUGUAGUGUGUGUAUAGUGAAUGCUGUGUGUGUGUGUGUGUAGUGUGCGCAAGGGGAAUGCUGUGUGUUUGUGUAGUCUGUGUAUAUAAUGAAUGCAGAGUGUGUUUGUGUAGUCUGUGUAUAUAAUGAAUGCAGAGUGUGUUUGUAUAGUGUGUGUAUAUAAUUAUAUAAUGAAUGCAGAGUGUUUGUAUAGUGUGUAUAUAAUGAAUGCAGAGUGUGUUUGUGUAGUGUGUGUAUAUAAUGCAGAGUGUGUGUUUAUGUAGUGUGUGUGUAUAUAAUGAAUGCAGUGUGUGUGUGUGUGUAUAUAAUGCAGUGUUUGUGUGUGUGUGUGUGUGUGUGUGUGCAUUAUAUACACACACUACACAAACACACACACACUCUGCAUUUACACACACUACACAAACACACACUCUGCAUUCAUUAUAUACAUGCAACACACAUUCUGCAAUAUAUAAGCACUACACACCCUGCAUUAUAUACGCACUACACACUCUGCAUUAUCUACACACACAUUACACACACUCUGCAUUAUAUACACUACACAAACACACACACUGCAUUAUAUACACACACUACACAAACACACACACUACAUUAUAUACACACACACACACAUUACACACACUCUGCAUUAUAAACACUACACAAAUACACACACAGUGUGUGUGUAUAUAAUUCAGAGUGUGUGUGUGUAUUUGUGAAGGGGUGUAAUUUGUGUAAAAUGGGCAGGAGGGGAGGGCAUUUCUUAUUUUGAUUUUAUUUUUAAUAUUUAUAUGUUUUAUUUUUAUCCCCCUUCCCUGCUUGUUACCUGGCCAUGGAGGGGGGAUGUGGCAUUCCCUGGUGGUCCAGUGGCAUGGACUGUGUACUGAGUAGUGGGGGGACAGGCAGCAAGCACUUACUUACCUUUUUCUGCAGCUCCCCAGUGUAAAUCUCGCGGUCUGCGUGCCGCGCGGAGCAUUGCCAUGGUAACUUGUGGCAACGCUCUGACGGCCGCGGGACUCGCAAAAUUUACACUGGGGAGCUGGAGGAGCUGCAGGAAAGGUAAGUAAGCACUUGCUGCCCGCCCCCCAUAGGACUGCUGGGCUUGUAAUGAGCCCAGCGGUCCUGGUAUGUAUUAUCGGCAAUAUCGGUAUCUAUAUUGGCCGAUACCGAUAUGGCCGAUAAUAUCGGUAAAACCAAUAAUCGGUCGAUCCCUAGUUUAAACGGAGUGUGUAAAAAUAUCUUAAAGUGACUGUAUUCUGUAUACAAUCAUGUACUUAUCAAAACAAAUAUGACUGUAAUGUCCAAUAACUCUAUAAUAAAGUGCUAGUGCGAAUAAAUGUGUCUGUGAAACUCAAAUUCAGAGUGCAGAUAAGUGCCAAUAAUAAAGUGACACUGGUGCAUAGAAUAUUGCAUUUACAGGCUAAACCGGGACUCGACAAAUCCCAGGUCGCCAUGGCGACUAAGAAUUUUGCCCAGGCGCCUGUGAUUGGUCAGCCCCUUCACUCCUCCUCCUAUUUAAAUCACUGCAUAGCUUUCUGUGCAAAGGUGUACCGUGUGAUCUGUAAUUACUUCCUCCCGGCGCUGCGGCCGCACAGAAAACUAGCAAGCUAGCAGGAUACUUGGUAAAAUCGUCUCUGUUAACCGCCCACCCACAUAUCACAGACCCAAUGCCUGCCCGCAUUUCACAGACCUGACCGCUCGCACAAUCGUUCCCCUGCACGGCUUCAGCGCCGGGAGGAAGUAAUUGCAGAUCCAUUCACUUUAGUGUGCAUAAAGUGAAGGGAUCUGCACAUAAUAUCUGCACAUAAUAUCGAGACUGGUGUAGGAGAGGAGUCUUGACCAGUGGCAGCCCACUCCCAUUAGCCACAGCCAGGCAAAUUAAUCUAAUGUCUGCUGCCGACCCCAGUCACACUGGACCCCAGGAAAAAAACUCUCCUGCACCCAAAAGGUAGGAAACAGGAGAGUGGCUAAAAAUAUGAAUUCACUUUUUUUUUCCUGUGUAUAUAUCUGUCAUGCAUGUAUGUCUGUGUGUGUGUAUUGUCUGUGUGCAGCUAUGAUUCUUUGUGUGUAUAUCAAAUAAUACAUAUCUUGUGAGUUUGUGAGAGGUUGUGUGUGUGUGUGUGUGUGUCUGUGUGUUGUCUGAUCGCAUGGGAAUGAUGUUUUUACUCACCUGUUUUCCAACGCCAUGCCAGUCUCGCCACAGCUGGCCCGCCUCCAUAACUGAAAUUAUCAAUCAACAUCUCCUCAUAGUGAGCAUUAAAGCAAUGCAUCUUGAAGGGGAACGUUCAGGCUGAAUGUAGGUGUUCUGCACAUUGUUCAGCACUGAGAUAGGAGACACUUUAGUGGCAGUUUGAGUGACUGCCACUAGAGGUGUGACUAGGCAGCAAGGUAAACGCUGCCUUUUAUCUGAACAAGCAGAACUUACAUAAAAAACCUACAGGGACAGGUUAUAGACACCAGAGUCACUAAAUUAAGCUGUAGUGUUUCUGGUGACUAUAAGGUCCCUUUAAGAAUUUUUGAGGUUGAAAAAAAGCUGGCUCCUAAUUUUUUUUUUUUUUAGCUGGCUCCUUGAUUGAAAGCAUAUUUGUCAAGCCCUGGGCUUAACAAUUGAUAAAUAUAACACUAAGUAUUACUUAAAAUCCUAUAAAGAUCCUAACUCCCCAUCCAACUGCUGUCCUAUCUCGCUACUGCCUUUUGCAUCCAAGAUCCUUGAAAGAAUUGUGCAUGCGAGAUUGACAGACUUCCUCGAGUCCAACUCUCUGCUAGACCUGCUUCAGUCUGGUUUCCGCGCUAAGCACUCUGUGGAAACGGCACUAACCAAAGUAUCCAAUGAUCUACUCGCUGCAAAAUCUUGUGGUCACUACUCUAUCCUAAUUCUCCUUGACCUGAUCCUCCUACCUCUCCCAGCGCUCUUUCAGUGUUUCUUUCUCUGGCUCUGCUUCUUCUCCCCAACUCCUCUCUGUUGGUGUCCCCCAAGGUUCAGUCAUUGGUCCCCUACUGUUCUCCCUCUAAACUGCCUCCCUUGGUAAACUCAUUAGCUCCUUUGGCUUCCAAUAUCAUUUCUAUGCAGAUGACAUGCAAAUCUACCUGUCCUCUCCUGAUCUCUCCCUGUCCCUCUUGACUAGUGUCUCUGACUGCCUCUCUGCUAUUUCUAACUGGCUGCCCACUUCAUUGAACUAAACUUGACCAAAACUGAAAUUCUGGUCUUUCCUCCCUCAAGUGUUAUUACUCCUGUGUCUGUCUCCCUCCAAGUCAACGGUGCUACCAUCAGCUCUACCACACAGGCUCGCUGCCCAGGUGUUCUCUUUGACUCCGACCUCUCUUUCAAGCCUCAUGUUCAGUCUAUCGGCAAAUCCUGUCAUUUCCAUCUCAAAAACAUUGCGCGCAUCCACCCUUACUAAACUCCAGAUGCGACUAGGUGCUGGUCCAUUCCACUGUCCUUUCUCACCUUGACUACUGUAAUCCGCUUCUCAGUGGUCUUACGUGCUCCCAACUUGCGCCAUUACAAUCCAUAAUGAAUGCGGGGGCGAGGCUCAUCUUCCUGUCCGCCCGCACCUCCCACGCCUCACCCUUCUGUCAGUCCCUACAUUGGCUUCCUGUAAGAUAUAGGGCUCAAUUUAAAAUUCUGGUUCUUGCUUUCAAAUCUCUACAUAAUGCUGCUCUCACCUGUCUAUCCUCUCUUAUACACAAGUAUGCCCUGUCUAGGUCCUUACGAUCUGCUGAAGACUUACAUCUAUCUUCUGUCCGUACUCCCACCUCUGAUGCUCGCCUUCAAGACUUCUCAAGGGCUGCACCGUUCCUGUGGAACUCACUUCCCUCCUCCGUUAGAUGCUUACCCAGUCUCCACUCCUUCAAAAAAAUCAUUCAAAACCCACUUCUUCAGUAAAACGUAUCAAUUAAACUGUUAAUAGCUCCCGACUGAUUCCUCUCUUGCAACUGUCAUUAGUCUAAUACUAUCCUUACCUUUUGUGUCACUUUACCCCACUCCCUCUAGCAUGUAAGCACAUUGAGCAGGGCCGUCUGAGUGACAGACACUAGAGGUCUUAGUAGGCAGCAAUGGAAACACUGCCUUUUCUCUGAAAAUGCAGAGUUUACAUUGAAAAGGCUACAGGGACAGGCUAUAGGCACCAGAACCACUACAUUAAGCUAUAGUAGUUCUGGUGACUAUAGUGCCCCUUUAAAAAAACAAAACCUGGAUCCUAACUUUUUUUAGCUGGCUCCAAGAUUCCAAACAAAUUUGUCAAGACCUCUGAUAUAUAUAUAUAUAUAUAUUGUAAGCUGAAAUUGUGGGAAGGGUUGUCAACUGAUUUAAACCCAGGUGACUCCUUCUUACCUAUCGUCACUUUUUUUGUUAAAAGGGCAGUAGUAAAUGCGCCUACGCAGAGGCUCUAGAAGGCAUUACUUUGCAUUUUCUUAGAGUUGUUUGUGUUACUUGUGCGAUAACAAGGUUGCUUUGUCUUCAGACAAAAAGGAACAAAACUUAUGUAACCGUAUAUAGGUCAUAGUUUGGCGUGUGGAAGAUAUAUAGUGUUGAUUAUGUGGACCCAGAGAAACCUAGUCGUUGGGUGCUUGGUCAUAUGAGCUUGAUCUCUUUGAAGGAUGACCGAAGUGCGUAGUUGGGCAGUUCAGGGUGUGUCGUCACUUUUUGGAAGUUCCAGUUUCUACUUCCAGUUCGCAUAGACCUCUGACGUAAUUCCGCUCUUCAUAUGCUUUUGCACGAAUCCAGCUGUUUCAAUACAUUCGUUGGUCUCGUCACGUGAGUAUUUCAUACUAAAAAAAACGAACAUGGUCCCGAAUCAGGAACUUGUUGAAAUGUGAGAGGGGGUGGUUAAUGGGACUGGGUUACAUUGCUGAAAUCAGCAAAACAUGUUACAGCACUGCAGGAAAACUACACAGAAUUGAAAGAAUAAAAACUAACCACAGGUAUUUAGAGCUUAUUAGCUUUAAUUUUACCAUAACUUGUUAAGCUGCCUGGAGUGUCCCUUUAAGUAUGUAUCAACCAUGUAGAUGGUACUUAUUGGGCAACAACACAUAAUAAGAUUAUUACAAUUCAAUUUGUGGUUUUACAAAUGGGAAAUGAACUCAUACAUGUGGGUAUAUGCUGCUAUAAAUAUUCACUGGGGGAUGUUGUUAACCACUGUAUCCGGUACUAUUACAUUGUUGCAAUUCUCAUCAUGUUAGAGGAAUACUCCAGACAAAAAAAAAAUUAUAAUAAUGCUUUUUAUAGUAUUUAGAAUGGGUAACUGUUUUUUUUUUCAUAUGCAAAUGUGCAUAGUUUUUCAAGGAAAAAAAAUCCCACAAAUUGUUUAAAAAAAAUUAACCUUAGCCACGCCUUUUACAUUCUGAAAGAUUCACUACUUCCAGCAAAUAUAUGCAGCUUAGCCACUGAUCAGCCCGGAACUGAUUUUAAACUGAAAUGCUGGUUAUAAUACAUUACUCCUGGGAUAGCUGGACCAGUGUGACGGUAGUCACCAUCACCUGGGGUUUCAUACGGACACUCUAUGUAGGACCCUGGAUUACGCCUAUGUCUAAGUCACCCUAUAACCAUUAUAAAGAUAGGAGCAAUCACUAUAAGCAGUGCUGUUUUUACCUGCUUCGGAAGGUGAAGCUGCAGAGGGGACGAUACCUGCCUGGAAAGAAAGCUGAAGAGACAAAGGCAGAGGGGUCAAUACUUGCCUGGAAGAAGGGUGGAAGAGUUCCGGAGUGACCCAAGUUAAGUUUUGGCGACUGGGUCUGAAGGGCUCCAGAAUUCCUUGUGGCAGUUAGGAAGUGGACCUUGCGGAGGUACUCAGUCGGAGUACAGGAGUCCAUCACGCAGUGCUAGUCAUGCAGCUACCACCCACCUCCGACCAACCUCAGAGUCCUGAUUACAAAAAGGAGCCUAGCAUCCAGCCAUUUCUUUUAAGACAACUGACAUACUCAUGCUGCAACAUGCUUCUGGAAGAGGAAGAGGUUUACAAUGAAAUUAUGUUAAUUUUGGUAAUUUUCACCUCAACGGGGGCUCUGAUAUCAAGUAUGGUAAAAAUAGGAAUAUGAACCAGUUACAAAACACUGACAGUUAUACUCAGACAUCUGCACUAAUCAAGAUCAAGAAAAUGUAUUGUAUUAAUUACAUUAAAAAGGCUCUGUCACCUUCUUUGAUAACGCCCUCUACUCAGUGAAGAAUGUGUGAUCAUUCCUGAUAGACAUUGGUCUUUCAUUAAAAUUCCAACACAGUCAAUAUAUACCAUGUGGAGCUUGUACAGUGCCACCCGUUGGUUGCAAUGAUCUAGCAGCAGCUGUAUGCACUACCAGGGAUUGCCAAAUUGCAUGUUUAGCUAGAUUUGCAUAUUGCAAAUUCUGCAGGCAGUAGAGAUGUUUUGUGCUUAUAAUUGUCUUCCCCGCUCCUUUUAUAAAUAUGAGGCAACGAUAUCUGCCUUGAAGGAGAGAGCUGCAGCGGCAUAGGCAGAGGGUACGAUACAUGCCUGGAAGGAGAGAGGUGCAACAGCAUAGGCAGAGGGCCUGGAAGGAGAGAGCUGCAGUGGUAUAGGCAGAGUGGACAAUACCUGCCUGGAAGGAGAGAGCUGCAGCUGGGUUGGUUGGAAGAGCUUCGGAGAGACCCCAGUCAAGCUUCGGCGACUGGGGCGGAAGCGUUCCAGGGUCCCUGCAAACAGCUAGGAAGCGGACUGGGCGGAUGUACUCGGUCGGAGUACAGGAGCUCUAUCACCGUGCCAAUCCAGAAAUACAAAUGUGGCCAAGAACGGCCCUGCAGCAGCAGUGUCUUCACUCCUGCUGCAGUUGCUCGGCAGUGCUUCCCCACACCUCUGUGUCGCUUGUUGGGUACUACAGGCAAUAGUUUUCCCUGGCCUUUGGAUGUUACUAUUCUCAUGGACAGAUGCUAUUAAUCACAUUGAGCCCCAGCAUAGGGCAGGACAACAGAAGCCAAAAUUUAUUUUGAUGGCUAUUGAUAAUGUAGUAUAUGCCUGCUUAUAUUUUUAAAAGUUACAUGCAUUAAAUAAGUGUCUUUUUAACAGAUUUGAGAGUUCUGCUGUUUUUAAUGUGUGUUUUAUCAAUGGUUGAAGCAACUGGUGUCAACCCAGAAUACAGAGAGAGUGGUUAUUUUAUACUCUACAGUGGUCUCCAGGUGCCAUAAUAGAAUUUGUUAAAAGCUUCUAUCAUUUAUAUGCGAGUGCAAUAUGUUUACAAUUUAAGUAAUACAAAAUAUUAUUUACAACAUUUGGCGCGUUAAACCCCUUCAGUUACCUACUUUAAUCCAGCACCGAGCUCCCUCUCCUCCCUGUCCAUCAAUGGCAAGUGCUGCGUGUGCAUUCAAAGUGUCCAUAGGAAAGCAUUUCCCAAUGCUUUCCUAUGGAAGCUCUGCGCAAUGGAUGCAGACGCGCCUCUAGUUGCUGUCCGGAAGACAGCCACUAGAGGCUGGAUUAACCUCAAAUGUAAACAUAGCAGUUUCUCUGAAUUCCCUAUACCUGGGGUUAUAUAGAUUUAACCGGGGUGUGUGUGACUGCUACAUAUUAUUACACCCCUGCAAAUUGUGUUGUUUUACAGUAGUUUUAAACCCCCCAGCAUUGUGGGUAAUAUAUCUUUCAGCACAUGGUAUCAAGGCUGACACUUAAAAAGCCAUGUUGUGGGCCCUCCCCUGGCAUACACUGUCAGGCAUACAUGCAUGCACAAACAUACUCAGAUACAGACACACAUUAGAAGACAUUAGCCCCUAUAUACUUCUUAAAGAGACACUAUAGUCACCCAGACCACUUCAGCUAAAUGAAGUGGUCUGGAUGCCAGGUCCCUCAGGUUUUAACCCUUCAGAUGCAAACUAGGGAUCGACCGAUAUUGGUUUUUUAGAGCAGAUACCGAUAAUCUGUGAACUUUCAGGCCGAUAGCCGGUAACUUGCCGAUAUUCUGUACAUUUACCAUUUUGAAAAAAUAAACUAUUUCUAAAGGUAAAUGCACAAAAUAUACAUGCCACAUGUAGUAGAUGCAGUGUGUUUAGACAGGGAAGCUGUGUGUGUGGGUGGAGGAUGCAGUGUGUGUUUGUGUAGUGGGUAUAUAAUGAAUGCAGGGUGUGUUUGUGUAGUGUGUAUAGUGAAUACAGGGUGUGUUUGUGUAGUGUGUAUAGUGAAUGCAGUGAGUGUUUGUGUAGUGUGUAUAGUGAAUGCAGUGAGUGUUUAUGUAGUGUGUGUGUAGUGUGCGUAAAGUGAAUGCAGUGUGUUUGUGUAGUGUGUGUAUAUAAUGAAUGCAGAGUGUGUGUUUGUAUAGUGUGUGUUUGUGUAGUGUAUGUAUGUAAUGAAUGCAGUUUGUGUAGUAUGUAUAUAAUGCAGAGUGUGUAUAGUGUGUGUUUGUGUAGUGUGUGUAUAUAAUGAAUACAGUAUGUUUGUAUAGUGUGUGUGUUUGUGAAGGGGUGCAAUUUGUGUAAAAUGGCCGGGAGGGUGGGGCAUUUUUUUAUUUUAAUUUUAUUUUUAAUGUUUUUGUUUUUUGUUUUUUUUUAUUCCCCCCUCCCUGCUUGUUACCUGGCCAGGGAGGGGGGCUAUGGCAUUCCCUGGUGGUUCAGUUGCAUGUACUGAGCAGUGUGGGGGGCCCGCAGCAAAUGCAGAGUGUGUUUGUGUUGUGUGUGUAGAGAAUGCAGAAUGUGUUUGUGUAGUGUGUAUAGUGAAUGCAGAAUGUUUGUGUAGUGUGUACAGUGAAUGCAGAAUGUUUGUGUAGUGUGUAUAGUGAAUGCAGAAUGUGUUUGUGUAGUGUGUAUAGUGAAUUCAGAAUGUGUUUGUGUAGUGUGUAUAGUGAAUGCAGAAUGUGUUUGUGUAGUGUGUAUAGUGAGUGCAGAAUGUUUGUGUAGUGUGUAUAGUGAAUGCAGAAUGUGUUUGUAUAGUGAAUGCAGAGUGUGUGUGUGUGUGUGUUUCUGUGUUAUUUGUGUAAAAUUGGGGGGCGGGGAUUUUGUUUGUUUGUUUUAUUGAUUUUUUAAUAUUACAUUUUUAAAAACAAUUUUUUUUUUUUUAGUCCCCCUUCCCUGCUUGUUACCUGGCCAGGGAGGGGGGGAUAUAGCAUUCCCUGGUGGUCCGGUGGCAUGGACUGUGUAGAGGGACGUCUGAAGCCACAAACGUCUGUCUCACCACAGACUGCAGUUUACAGGGCUGUGGAACAUCUAUCGCCCAAUACCCAGGACAUACAGCUCCGGGUAUCACACGGUUACUUCUUGUCCUUUAUCCCUGCUGUGUGCAAGCAGCAGGGCUCCUACAUAGGUUCCUGGAGGGCACUGAAUUCUACAAACCAAUACAGCGUGGCAUGCAGAUUAUAACUGAAGGAGGACAGGUUUAGGGUUGCAUUCAGUCAGCACACACCACACAAACUGCAUACAGCCAGCAAGCUUACUUACCUUUCCAGCAGCUCCCUGUGUAAAUCUCGCGGUGUGCGUGCUGCGCGGAGCGUUGCCAUUGUAACCCGUGGCAGCGCUCUGACGGCUGCAGGACUCGCAAUAUUUACACAGGGAGUUGCUGGGAAGGUAAGUAAGCUUGCUGGCCCCCCCCAGGACCACCAGUCUUGUAAUGGGCCCGGCAGUCCAGGUAUGUAUUAUCGGCAAUAUCGGUAUCUCUAUUGGCCGAUACCAAUAUUUCCGAAAAUACUGAAUAUCUGCCGAUAACAUCGGUAAAACCGAUAAUCGGUCAAUCCCUAAUGCAACAUAGCAGUUCCAGAGAAACUGCUAUGUUUACAUUUGGGGUUAAGCCAGCCUCUAGUGGCUGUCUUUCGGACAGCCACUAGAGGCGCAUCUGCCAUGCUGGAGGCAUAUUAUGCCUCCAUCACGCAGAGCGUCCAUAGGAAAGCAUUGUGAAAUGUCCUGUCGCUUCCAAGAGGGGGUAUGCCCACAUGCCACGUCAAGGCAGCCCUACACUGACCCUUCACCUUGCUUCCUUGAGCUUUUGGCAAAGAUAUCUCCAAUGAGACAGAGAGGGGUAUUUUUUAUACAACCCCCUAUAUAUUUAUUAAUCCUUAAUAGGGAUUGGAAUGGGCGGCAGCACAUGGAAUGGGCGGCAGCAUUGUAACAAAGCUGUGUGAUACAACAAGUGGAUACAAAUGCAGAAAGAUCCCCACCUAGGAGGUCUGGCUUGACGUGGCAGGUGGGCAUAUCCUCUUAUGGCCAUUGGAGGUAACUAAAAACCAUCCAUUUGUUUAAAAAUACAUAGGGAUUAAGGAGAGCGCAGGUAACUUGUUUUUCUUUGGUUUUUAUUAUAUAUUGGGGCUGAUGUGAACUGCCGCCCAGGAGUGAUGGGAGUGAGUGCAGGACUUAUCUUUCUGCAUUUGUAUCCUCUUUCAUGUCUUUAAUAUGUUUGUUGGGGAGGGGAGGGGGGAUCUUUGGUGAGUUCCCACACUUUUCCCCCCAGGACUUGACCCCUGAAUAGCGUAGUGUAAUAUUUUAACUGUAAGAAGAUACAAGUGGGAAAUACCAGUCUUACUCAUGUGUCCUUUGUUUUCAUUUAAACAUAAUAUCCUUGACUUCUUAAGCGACUGGCACUGUAACCUUUUUCGGAACACAAAUCAUAUCUACAUUCAGCAAUGUCUAAAUUCCAUUGAAUACGUAAGACCAACUAGGAAGAAAAGUCAUUAAUUACACUUCAUUGUUUUCCAGAAACAGAUAAAUGGGUUGUAUUUACAAAACAGGACGUUGCAGAAGCUGGGCAGCUUGACUUUUAUCAGUUGUGGUCAUUAUUCUCACUUCAAAAGAAAAUCUACGCACAGCAGACUGUAUUCUAAAGAUUUGGCACUCUAAGCGCUAUAACCACUACAGCUAGCACAUUUUAGUGGUUAUAGAGCAAAGAGUCUGUAGACCAAGCAUGCCAAACUCGCGGCUCACAAAGGUGAUUGGGCAUGGUGACUGGGCACUGUGUAUGUAGUUGUUGAGUACUGUAUUAGUGUGGGUGGAGGAUCAGUGUUGUAUGUGUGAGGCGUAGGCCAAGUGUGUUGUCAUUUUUUCUGACCCGUGUGAUCGUUCUCUAUUACUACUAGACUUGGAGAAAUUGAAAUGGGACAAUUGGGGAUUCUGCAGAAAAACUAAACUCAAAUAGAAAUGGGAACUAAUCCCGAAACAACUGAAAUACCCAAUGGCCUGUUGCUUCGGGAGCCGGGAGCCGCGAGUACAUGCUGGUGUUAUAGCAGAGUAGGCACCUGCUUUCCCCACAUUGCAGGUGCCUACUCUGCUAACACUUACCCGGCCAGAGAGGAGGGCCAUCGAGGGAGCUCAGUAUUCCUGCUCCCUCGCGCGCCGCAUUUAGUGAAGCCGGGCGCAUUCCGGAGCAGGAAGGAAAUCUCCAGACAGAAAAUCCCCACACCAGCUCCCAAAGGUAGGGAACAAUUAAUUAAAUGAUAUGAGUGCAAGAAUGUUUAAGUGUGUGUGUCUGUCAGUAAGUAUUUGUGUCUGUGUGUGUGUGUGUCUGUCUGUGAGUGUGUGUGUGUGUUUGUCAGUGUUGCAUUGACUGCGACUGGACAGUGGAGUACCUGGAGGUGCAUGGAGGCACGCAACGCCACGUAACAUCUGUGGGGAUAUUUAUGGGAUAAUAAUAGUAAACAGUGAAAAUUGCCCACUAAUUCAAUUCUCAGAUCCCAAAGAACGUUUAUCGUGUUAAGUGAGAAGUAUUUCAUAUAAUAAUAUCACAAUGUAUAAAAAUAGAUUUUUAUUUAUAAUGACAAAUUAAUUAAUAAUAAUAAUAUGUAACAUGCGUGACAAUAAUCAAUGAAUAUCCAGUACAAAAUGAUAUGCAAUACAAAGGAAUGGCUAUACAGAUUUCAAUGGCUAAAACAGCAUUUUCUGUCAAGACUUUAUUUAUGACUAUCUUUCACAGACAUAGAGCGAAGUUUCACGCAGAGAACAGAAUUCCUCAGAGUGCAGCGUAAGGUCGUAAAGUUUAGCUGACAGUUAGAAUAACCCUUUCAAUGCUGGCUAGAUCUCCUAAGUAAUUAAGAUCUAUUCUUAUGUAAUUUUAAAUAACAUAACAUUUAAACCAGUUAGUUAGUCAUUUCCUGGAACCAUCCAAUAAGAGAAUCUACCAUAUUUAUAUAAGCAGAAUUUUAAUUGGUCUAACAGAUAUCUUAUAUUAGAGCAAAUCAAUACACCUGGAUAAAAACAGCAGUAUGCUAACACGUGAUAAUAUCACAUUAAUAUAUAAUUAUUCUUAAUUCCACCUGCAGAAUGGAAUGUUUAUAACUAUAUAUUCUUUAGUUAACUAAGAUUUCUUAAUAUGGAAAUCUGACCGUGCUUUAUCCUAGUCAUAUAUCAUGCUAUUAAUACAUUUUAAUUAAUUUAAUUUAAUUAAAUGAAACCAGUAUAAUUACCAGUUGAGUAGAUAUUUCAUCCGAUUGGUAGAUAGUCUCAGAAACUUAUUUGGAUGUCUGUAGGUGCAUGAGUUAUGGUGAAAGGUGGUGUUGGUUAGAAAGUCAGUAAAAUUCUAAGUGUCAGAGUUUUAAGAGUAGAGUGUUUCAGAUGUUGUCCGAGUUGGAGUCCCCAUAUUUCCAAUUCCUCUCUCCUCUUUUUCUUUCUCCUUUGCAUUUCCUUGUCUUCCCUUUGUCUUAACUUUUAAAGGGCCAGACUCUCUGUACGUCAUCAGUUGAUAACCCAAUAGAAGUACUAGAGGUGUGGUUAUCUUCCAGAUCGCAAAUUAGGUAUUUGGUCUAUAGAGGGCAGUCUUGUCCCACUAAACAUACCUAUCCAGGAAAGAGUUAACUUUUCUUGGUGGCUAUUUUGACGUCAUUUUGGCCUAUCUAGAUAGUGGCCAUAACUUACGUAUCCUUCACAGAUCAAAGGGUUUCUUUAAGUUUUGUCCAGACUAUGUGUCUGGCAAAUCCUGCUAUAAUUUCUAAAAUGGCAGAUCAUGAACUAAGUUUAACCUUAAACUUACAAUGGUACCAUAUAUAUAUAUAUAUAUAUAUAUAUAUAUAUAUAUAUAUAUAUAUAUAUAUAUAUAUAUAUAUAUAUAUAUAUAUAUAUAUAUAUACAGUAAAAUUAAAUUAUUUAAUCUUCUCUGUCACAAAUGUCUGGGUUUAGAUUUGAUCUAUUCCAUUAGCAUUUAGACAGUCUGUCCAACCCCCGUUUCUGCUUAUCACUUGUUUAUACUAUGCAUUCCUUUAGCUCUGGGAAAGUGGUUAGUUUACAGAUAGAAAUCUUGUGUCUUUUUGUUAACUUGGAAAUAACAAAAUGGAGUCUGGUCUGUUCAGAGUGACUCAGAAUAUACACUUUUAGUUUCUAUCAUAGCACAAGAUGUCUGCCGAUAUAAAUACCCUGACACAUCGACGUGCUCCACCUUCACAGGGUUUCAAAAAGUAGCCGGAGGAUCAGAUUUGGCACAGGGUAGUAGAGGGGGUGCUGUGGUUUAUUAGAGGGGGGGUGCUCUUUUUUUGUUUUUUUUAAUAUAUAUAUACUGUACUUUUUAAAAUAAAACUACGUUUCUAUGGAAAUUUAGGGUAUUUUUUUGCGGCCCACAUACAGGUGAUACUCAAAAAAUUAGUAUAUCAUGCAAAACUUCAUUUAUUUCAGUUAUGCAAGGUAAAAAGGGAAACUAAUAUAUGAGAGACGCAUUACAUGUAAAGCAAGAUAGUUCAAGCCGUGAUUUGUCAUAAGUGCAAUGAUUAUGGCUUACAGCUCAUGAAAACCCCAAAUCCACAAUCUCCGUAAAUUAGAAUAUUACAUGCAAUCAAUAAAACAAGGAGUGUACAUAGAACAAUAUCGGACCUCUGAAAAGUAUAAGCAUGCAUAUGGAUUCAGUACUUGAUUUGGGGCACAUUUGCAGCAAUUACUGCCUCAAUACGGCGUGGCAUGGAAGCUAUCAGCCUGUGGCACUGCUGAGGUGUUAUGGAAGAGCAGGAUGCUUCAAUAGAGGCCUUCCGCUCUUCUGCAUUGUUCAGUCUCAUGUCUCUCCUCUUUCUCUUGGCAAUCCAUAGAUUCUCUAUGGGGUUCAGGUCAGGCGAGUUUGCUGGCCAAUCAAGCACAGUAAUCCCACGGUCAUUGAACCAGGCUUUGAUACUUUUGGUAGUGUGGGCAGGUGCCAAGUCCUGCUGGAAAAUGAAGCCAGCAUCCCCAUAAAGCUAGUCUGCGGAAGGAAGCAUGAAGUGCUCCAAAAUCUCCUGGUAGACAGCUGCGUUGACCCUGGACUUAAUGAAAUACAGUGGACCAACACCAGGAGUUGACAUGUCUCCCCAAAUCCACACAGACUGUGGAAACUUCACACUGGACUUCAAGAAUCUUGCAGUGUGUGCCUCUCCACUCUUCCUCCAGACUGUGGGACCUUGGUUUCCAAAUGGACUUUGGACCACUGAGCAACAGACCAGGUCUGUUUUUCUUUAGCCCAGGUAAGACGCUUCUGACGUUGUUGUUCAGGAGCGGCUUGACAAGAGGAAUACGACAUAGCCCAUGUCCAGGAUCCGUCUGUGUGUGGUGGCUCUUGAUGCACUGACUCCAGCCUCAGUCCACUACUUGUGAAAGUCCCCAACACAUUUGAAUGACCUUUUCCUGACAAUCCUCUCCAGGCUGCCGUCAUCCCUGCUCCUUGUGUACCUUUUUCUUCCACACCUUUCCCUUCCACAUAACUUUCUAUUAAUGUGCUUUGAUACAGCACUUUGGGAACAUCCAACUUCAUUCACAAUUACCUUUUGAGGCUUUCCCUUCUUAUGGAGGGUGUCAAUGAUGGUUUUCUGCACAACUGUCAGGUCAGCAGUCUUCCCCAUGAUUGUGAUUCCUACUGAACCAGACUGAGAGACCAUUUAAAGGCUCAAAAACCCUUUGCAGGUGUUAUGGCUUACUUAGCUGAUUAGAGUGGGAUACUGUGAGCCUAGAAUAUUGCACCUUUUCACAAUAUUCUAAUUUACUGAGAUUGUGGAUUUGGGGAUUUCGUGAGCUGUAAGCCAUAAUCAUCGCACUUAUGACAAAUCACAAUUUGAACUAUCUUGCUUUGCAUGUAAUGCGUCUAUCUCAUAUAUUUCCCCUUUUACGUUGCAUUACUGAAAUAAAUUAACUUUUGCACGAUAUUCAAAUUUUUUGAAUAUCAGAUGUAAACUUAAACCUUGUUUAUGUGGCCCGUGCCAGACUUUGAGUUUGACAUGCUUGCUGUAGACAGUAUUCUGCCAAUUUGUAUCAGACUGUAGUUGAGUGUUUUUGGAAGAAAAAAAAGGGUUCUCUUGCUGUGGCUCAGCUAUUAAAUUAACUUUUGUAUGAAUUCACUGUAGUGGUUAUGGUGAUCAUUUUAAUUAGAUUCUGACAACAUGGAUGUAGCAAAGCUCUAGUCCUGACAAGGACUUUUCUCCGCUGGACCCGUAGUACUGUAAGUUUGGAACAAGGCACUGUGGAGUGAAUAGCUCUAUCCUUCCCCAGUAACUGGACAACACACAGUUGGCAGUUCUGGGAGUUCAACUGAGUUUUAUUAUGCCACACUCUGCCUUUUAUGCACAGACCCCCCCAACACGGGGCCUCCAUUCCACACAACACAAACUCCUCCCUGAAUACACAGGAACCCUAAAAAUAUUAUAUAUCCGAAUAGCUCAGAUCUGAGUUCCCAAGUUGUCCAAAUAGCGCUCAGAUCCAUUCGAUAAAACAGAUUGCCAUUUGGGUAAAGUUCUGACCAUGAGGUUGUAGCGCAAAAUAGUUCCAGAGGAAAAGAGGCAACUUUCAGAUGUUCCUGUGCGAACACAGACAAAUGCUCACCCUGGAUUUUAGGGCGUGAAUGCUCCUCCAAUUUGUAAUUCUCUUCUCCCGAACGGCGUUCUCCUAACUUGUCUGGGAGCUGAACGGGCAGCGGUACAGUUUUCCCCGGGGUUCGCCAAAGAGAUUUCCACGCGUUUAACUACCAUGUACAGCUGUCUGCACUCGGGAGACAAAAUGGCCACCAUUCACUAGAGCACAUGUGUUCCGUUAUACGAAUGGCGGCCACCAAGGGAAAGCACUUGAGCUAAUUGCUCUUUUGAAGUUAACAAGCCAGGGGUGGUUGGUGUUCAAAGGGUAUAAAAGGGGGACCACACAUUCCCACAUUUGGGAAACUAACAAGGGGGGUACGGACAACCGUACAGAGAGGAAUAAGUCUGCUACAAUGGAAUCUACACUUUUUUUUCUUCUUCUAUAGGAACUGGAUUAAAGCAUUUGGUUCAAAGGUAAAGCAUUAUAACUAAUUCAGAGGGGCCAAAAUGUGGUUUAUAUCUAUUUCCAUUCAAGAGUUGUCUUAGGGUUUUAUACAUUUUGACUCUGAGUGCUCCCAGAUUACAAGUAUAAUGUAUUAUAUUGUAGCCAGGACACCUCUUGCUGUCAGCACCUGUAGAUUUUCUGGAUUUUUUAGUUCUUAUCCAGGACAGAGUGAUGGGCUACCCCCACAUUAUACACUUUAUAUCUGCCCACUUUGUAUUAGUUUCUGGUCAUGAUAAAUUAUGUAAUUAGCGGAUUCGAGAGAUUUUACUACUCGCUCAAGUUCUGCAAUUUUCAGAGAUCCCCAGGACAGUGCAGUAACAUCCACUUGCCAUUGCAGCCCCUACCAGCUUUAAUUAGCCCUGCUUGGGAACACUUUGUCAAGCCCCCAGAAAGUGCUAGAAACAUCUGCUGUUGGAAUAACCGUGUAACCAGGAGCAACUGAGAACGACUGGGGAGAGAGUUCUCUUACUCCUGCUUUCUCUCACUACUAUGAAUUAGAACCUGUGUGCCUCUAGCACAGAAAGUCUAAUGCUGAGAAGUUGAUUGACAGAUGGAGUGGGGCACUAAAUUAAAACCUAAACAUUUUCCGGUAUUUCUACUAACACACUGUAUACAUUAAAAAUAAUGAUGUUUAAUUUAAGACCAAGUUGUGUGUACCAUGAUAGGUACAAUUAAUGUGCAAUCAUCACUUCAUCACUAGUUUUUAAUUAACCUCUUAAGGACAGCAGGCGUGCUAUGCCAUCCUUAGGGACCCGGCUCUAAACGCCAGGGGGCGGCAUAGCACUUCCCCGCUGUUCUUUCUACUUACCCGGUGUGGGGACUCACCUGGCAGCCCAGGGAGUCCCCCUGCUUCCUCUCCGACCCUCCUGGGCCAUGUGAUCACGAGGUCCUUGCGAUCACAUGGACAGCAUAGCUGUACAAGGCAGUGCCAGUAGGGUGUAAUGACAGGUACUGCCCCUGCUGCCUAUAAAAAAAAAAAAAAAAAGUAAAAAAAGAUUAAAACAGUUUAAAAUUGACUUAUAUAUACUUAGAUUAUAUAUAUAUAUAUAUAUAUAUAUAUAUAUAUAUGUGUGUGUGUGUGUGUAUAUAUAUAUAUAUAUAUAUAUAUAUAUAUUAUAUAUAUUAUAUGUAUGAUCUAAGUAUGUGUAUGUGUGUGUAUAUAUAUAUAUAUAUAUAUAUAUAUAUACACACACAUACAUAAAUACACAUACAUAGUCUAAGUGUAUUUUAAUAUUAAUAUAUAUUUAUAUAUUAUAUAAAAUAAAUAUAUGUAAAUAUGUAAAAAAUUCUUAAAAAAUUAUAAAAAAAUAUGUGUAAUUCCAUUCUAACUGUAUUUUAAAAUUAAUAUAUAUAUAUUAAAAAUACACGUAGAACAAAAUAAUUUAUAUAUCUAUAUACAUAAGUAUAUAUGUAUAUAUCACUAUAUGUGUAUAUAUAUAUAUAUGUAUAUAUAUAUAUAUUAUAUGUUGGAAGUCCAUUUGGCCUGAAUUUAUGGGAGGAGUUAUGAUCCUAUUUAAACCCUACCCCCCCCCCGACUUACCUUUGUCGUGAAAGGUGUUUGUCGUCUCCAUAGUUACCUGCACUUUCGGUUCAUCGUUCCUGCCAAGUCCUGUCUCAAGCAGUCUCCAGCAAGCAGUCUGUCGCCAGCAGCUCCUGCCUCCAUUUUCCAUGCCCGUCCACUGGCUUCUAUCCGACUUCGCUACCCGGCUUCCGGUCACGAGACCGGCACGUCCACGUAAGCAUAAACAUGGGAAAUGGCGUUCGUCUAUUUCCCAUGUUCGGGCCUAAAAACGCGGGGAUAGGCUCCCUUCAUUACUUACCCGUUCGUGCUCUUACACUGUUUGUGUACUUCUGUGUUCGUGCGGCUAACAGCCGACCGCAGAGUACACACUCCUUUCGUUUGUAUUUUCGUAUAAACUAACUUAAGACCGCACUGAACUAACUUAUGUUCGACUAUUUCAUCCGUUCGUUCAGCCGACCACAUGUACAAUUGGCUUUCGUUUAAAUCUGUUCAUAUGCUCCAUUUAACCGAACGCAGGAGAUCUUUCUCUUUACAGUUCUCCUGUUCAUUCAUUUAACGCAAGAGGCUACAGUGUUUAAAUUCACAAAUCUACUGUAAAUGUACCUAGUUAUGCCAUUCACUUAAACCAAGCACUCACAUUAUUUAUCCUUUAGGAAUUUGUGUUUUAUUAAAUGGCUCUUAAAGUCACCACUGGUUAAAUAAUAUGUUUCACUAAUUUCCCGUCCAUGGUCACAUAAUUAUCUUUCACAGGGUAAUCUUCUUAAAGGCGCAGUUGGCCACUUCCACUUUAUAAGUUACGUUAAUAAAAAAAUACACCUCCAGGCAUUAUUAUUUAACCCUGCUGGGACUUAGACUAUUUUACUUUCCCUAAUUUAUUAGUCUUCUACGCGACUAAGGUCGCUCCACUCAUAGGUUAAGCCCUUACGGCCCUUUUUCACCAGGCUCAUUGCAGACACUUAGCACGAUUUUAAAAACCUCAGUUUCUUAAAAGUCCUUAUAUACUGGUUCCUUACACUUAGACUGCAUAUGUUUUUAGGGUUUACUACUUUCCUACAAACAGUCUUCAAGAAGUGGUAUCCCAGUAUCCUGUGGGUUCUAAACUUCAAACGGGCCAGGUCUGAGAUUCCUCACUGCGAUUAAAACAUCAAUCACACAAACCUACACCACCUUGCAACUGCUUAUUUUUUUUUUUUUAAUUUGACAAUUUUUAUUUUGUCGGGUUGGGGAGAUGGGGUACAGAAGAAAGCAGGGGGGGGAGGGAGGGGGAACACAGUAUAUAGUAUCCAAGUUCAAUACUUUGUACACAUAGUCAUUUUUACAGUAAACAGUUUGAUUCAGGUGUGCGAGUUUUGGUAUGUGGGCAUCGUUUUACGAUUUGUUGCUAGUCCUCUGUUUGUUUGUGCCUCAUGCUAGAUUACCAUGUGUAACGUGUGGUUGCAGAGGGUGCGUGUUCGUUAAAGUGUUCCAGAGUAGGGGGGGUAUAUUUACACUGUUAAGGUGUGCCUGCUUGAUGAUGUCUUGUGUCUCGUCCCUGCUGCUGUUGGAGUCGUUCACCUUUUUGCUUGGGUCCUUUAGCCUAUCCUUAAGAGUAUGGGUCGGUGUAUAAGGACGUUGUGAGCUAGUAUGCCUGUGUUUUUAUUUGUUCCCUGGGGAGGGAGGGUGGGGUAGUGGGGGCAGGGUGAAUUGGCGGGAUGUGGUAUCCUCUGGUUCUUUUGUUGGGGUUGUGGCAGAAAGAGGGAAGUGCUUCCAUCGUGGAGCAUGUUGUCAGGAAGUGGUUAAGUGUCCUCAUGUGGUGUUUUUAUGUGGUGUGUUGGGUGUGAGUUCAUUUACGGGGUUGUAGCUUGUUCUCGUCCCACAUUUCCCAUGCUGUAGUGUGGUAUGUUGCUUUUGGUCUUGCUUUCCUUGCCAUUAUUUCGUAUUGUUUGGAGUUGUCAAUUGCUUUGAUACAUUGUUCUAUUGUCGGUGGGGUUGUUUGUUUCCAUUUCCUGCUUAUGGUUGCUAGUGCUGAGAUGAUGAUAUGGUAGAGGAGGUAUCUGUGGCUUUUCCGCAGUUUGUUCGGGAGUAGUAGGAGGAGAAAUAUUUCCGGUAGGAGUGGCAGGUGCGUUUUGGUGCAUCUUGCUGCUAGUUCCUUUACUUCCAGCCAGUAUGUCGUGAGUUGCUGGCAGUGCCACCAGAUGUGGAUCAUGGUGCCCUUGUCUGCCUGGCAUCUCCAGCAUAUGUCCGAUGUGUCAGGGAAGCUGGACUUGAGGCGUGCGGGCACCAGGUACCACCUGUAGAGACCUUUUCAGGAGAGUUCCACAUGGUUCAUGCAGAGUGUCAUUUGUUUGUGUGCUUUGUAAAUGUUCUGCCAUUGGGCUUCAGUAAGUGGGUGUUUGAUGUCUUUCUCCCAUGCUGUUUUAAAGGAUGGUUUUUUUUUCGAGGGUAGAUUGUGUUCUGAGGUGUAGAUCAGUGAGAUCAGUUUCUUGGCUGGUUUGGUUGCUAGACAUACCUUUUCGACUUCCAGUAGAGGUGGUUCCGGGAAGGUUAUCGCCAAUUUCCUUGUCUGUAGAGCGAACCAGGCUUGCAGUUGCCUGUAGGGGAAGGCAGCUGUUGCAGGUAAGUGGAAUUCUCGUUGGAGGUCUGGCAGAUGUUUGAGAUGGGAGUCUGUCGUGAGUUGGGAAAGGGUUCGUACGCCGUGUUUGUUCCAUAUUUUGUAGUUGAAGUCCAUGAUGAUGACGCCCAAAGCUUCUAGUGGGAGGGCUGGGGAUAUUUUCGUCAAUAUGCCCAUCUUUUUGCGAUAGUUAUCCCAUAUUGUUAAAGUAAGUUGAGUUGUUGGUAGGAGUGAUUUGUUGCUUGGUCUUUUGUGUUUCGUUAUCCAGGCCAUAGUUGGUAGGGAAAGUCCGUUAGCAUAUCUUGUUUCAAUUUCUGCCCAGGCCAUCGCUUCCUUGUGGUGGAAUGCUGAGAGGAGUGGGGCUAUGUGCGCUGCUCGAUAGUAUCCUCUUAUGUCAGGUAAGCCCAUACCUCCUUGAGAGAGUGGUCGGAACAUAGUGGUGCGCGCUACCCUGGGUUUUGUGUUUUCCCAGACAUAUGUGUUAAUUUGUUCUUGUAUUUCCAGGAGAUGUUUUGUGGGGAGCUGGAGGGGGAGCGUUCUGAAGAGGUAAAAGUAUCAUUUUCGUCGAUGCUAUUCGUCCCAUCCAUGAUACGUAUUUGCCUUUCCAUCCUUGUGUGAUGGAUUUGAUUUCCCCUAAAAGUUUUAUGUAAUUUGCUUUAAAUAAGGUGGUGGGUGUGGGUGUGAAGUUGACCCCUAGAAACUUGAUAUGGUCUUGUCUCCAUUCAUAGUUAAAGUGUGUUUUCAGGGCGUUCAAGUCGUGGUUUGGGAUGUUAAUGCUCAGGGCCUGUGUUUUUGCUAUGUUUAAUUUGUAGAAAGAGCAUCUACUGUAGAGGGCCAGUAUUUUAUGGAAUUGUAGUAGAGAUAUGUGCGAGUGCUCUCAUGAUAGCAAAAUAUCAUCCGCGAACAGCGUUAGUUUAUAUUCCUUCCCUUUUAUGUGCAUUCCGCUUAUGGCGGGGUCAUCUCUUAUCAUUUGGGCCAGGGGUUCGAGUGCCAGGAUGUAUAGUAUUGGGGAGAGUGGGCAGCCUUGGCGGGAACCAUUCGAAAUUUUGAAGGGUUUGGAGAUAAAUCCCCACAUUUGUCACUCGUGCCGUAGGGGAGGAGUAUAGUGCUCUGAUGAGGGCAAGGAAUUGGGGAGGGAAUUCAAAUUUUUGUAGGACCGCUAGUAGGAACGGCCAGUGGAGUCUGUCGAAUGCUUUCUCGGCUUCUAGGGAUAGGAGGAUACUUGGGGCCCUUUUCUCCCGCAGACCGUGUAAGAGGUUUUGUACUUUCCGUGUGCCAUCUGCUCCUUGUCUGCCGCUGACAAAUCCCACCUGGUCCUUGCCAAUUAGCUCGGAGAUGAUGGGGGAAAGUCUGUUUGUGAAGAUUUUUGCGAUGAGUUUGACAUCAGUGUUCAGUAGGGAAAUUGGCCGUAAGUUUUGACUUCUGUUGGGGGUUUUUCCCGGUUUCGGUAGGGUAGCUACAUGAGCCAUUAGCAUCUCUUCUGGCAGUGUUCCAGUUUGUAAUGUGUGGUUGAUUAGUUUGUUUAAGUGGGGGGCCAGGAUGUGUGCGAAUUGUUUGUAGUACGAGUUAGUUAACCCGUCGGGGCCGGGGGAUUUCCCUAAGGGGAGUGUAUGAAUUGUGUCUAUUAUUUCUUGGACCGUUACUGGGGCCUGAAGGCUUUGUUUGUGUGUUAUGGAUAGCGUGGGCAGUGUUGUUUUUUGGAGAUAAUCUUUUAUGUCUUCGUUUGAAGGUUGGUGUAGUGCAGGGUCAUCUUUUAGGUUAUAUAGCGCUUGGUAGUAAUCUGCCAUUUCAUCGUUUAUGUCUUGUGGGUUGUGGAUUUUUCCUCCCUCUUUAGUGAGCAGGUAUGGGAUUUUAGAGUUCGCUUGUUUUUGUCGGAGGAUGGUUGCUAGGUGUUUCCCUGCUCUAUUGCCUUGUGUAUAUGUUUUCAUCUUCAACUUCGUUAAGAUAUGAGUUGUCUUGCUUAGAGCUAGUGUGUUGAUUUGGUUGGUUAUGAGUGCUAUAGACUUGGCUAGUUCUUCAGACGGUUUAAAUAGGUGUUCGUUGGUCGUGUCUCGCAGUUUCCUUAGAAGAUCCAAGUGUUCCCGUUCUUGUUGUUUUUUCAGGAAUGAUGCUUGGCUUAUCAGGAGGCCUCUCAUGACAGUUUGGUGGGCCUGCCAAAUGGCUGCGGCGGAGGUUUCCGGGAGAUCAUUGAGUUCGAAGUAUGUUUGCAGGCUGUUCAUGAGUUUUGUCGUGAAUACGGUGUUGUGAAGCAGGUUGUCAUUUAGACGCCACGGUGGUUUUCCUCUGUGUUGGUAUUGAGUUAGUAUGGUCAUUGUAAGCGGUGCAUGGUCAGACCAGACUAUAUUCCCUAUGGUGCAGUCAGUGAUGGCCGGGAGAAGGGUGCCUGAUAUCAGGAUAUGGUCAAUCCUUGAGUAUGUUUUGUGGACUUGUGAGUAGAACGUGUAUUCUCUUUCGUUCGGGUUGCGUGUUCUCCAUGUGUCGUAUAGUCCGUAUUCGUGGAUCAGUUUCGUGAAGGCUUUGUUCGCCGUCUUUAAGUUAGCGUGCCUAGCGGAGUCGGCCUUUACUGUGGAGUCCAUGUAGGAGUUCAUGGUGUGGUUAAAAUCUCCGCAGAUAACUUUAGGUGUGUUCGUCGAAUUUGGCGAGGAUUUUAUGUAGGAAGUUUCUUUGUUGGUCGUUUGGGCUGUAUAGGCAUACCAGCAAGAAUGGUAGGUUGUUCAGAAUGCAGUGUAGGAUCAAGAACCGACCUUGGCUGUCUUUUUUAACAUGGAGUAUUUCCGUAGUUCGUGAUUUAUGUAAGAGAAUAGAGACUCCUCGCGAUUUUGAGGAGUGGGUGGCAUGGUACUGAGUGGGGUAAUCUUGGAGGGCGAAUGUGGGGGUUCUGUUGGUGGCAAAGUGUGCAACUGCUUAUUUAACGGUACCCUUCUUCUCUAUUGUUUCUACAUUUCUUCACUCAGACCUGUGUCAUUACUGCAGUUUCGCCAAGUUACACGGCAUCAACCACCAACAAGACUACCUGUUUCCCUGCAUUUCAGUCUCCGGUAUUGUUAAAUCUUACUCACUACGAUUACAUUUCUCCUUAAGGCCUCACUUCGCCUUUGUAUCAUGUAAAUUACCCAAUCAGGGGAUCCCAGGGGGCUUGUCUCUACUUAUGGACCAACGGAUUCUUACGUUACAGUUUCACGAUUACACUAUACCCAUACGUUUGACAUUUUUACACUUGGCAUACCAGUGGCACACCGCAGGCCCUCUAGCAUCUUUAUUACCCUUAGGAUAUCUUCACCCGACCCUGCAGAAGCAAGAAUAUAUUGAAAUCUUCCUGCGCAUUGACCAAAGAAAUAGGACAAAACUCAAGGUUAAGUAUAUACAUAUGUUCCAUUACAUCAUUCAAGGAGACAAGCCCCAUCAGGCUAGUGAACUGGCAUUGAGAGUUAGGCGUUGGCCUUAGCUAUCCUAAGUAAUACUACGGUCCCGCAAAGUCUACACCCCUACGUGGAGGUUCAGCCCCACGACCAAAUCAUAGUUAGCUACCUCACUCCCCCUUCUUUAGGGCUACAGCUAGGGCUUCCCAAGUCACAGCCACACGUUUUGAAUCUCUUACGAUCACCGUCAGGCCGACACCCUGCCACCACGUUUAAGUGGCCACAAAAUUCCCUCAGCCCGAAUCAUAGGUAGAGCCUUUCUCCACCACUUGGCACUAGCAGGGCCUCACCUGUCACUUGGUUCUAGGUAAAUUCUUCGCCUCGGCACUAGUUAGCAGGCCAGUUCUCUGAAGGUCUCAUCCACACCUCUAAGACACAUUACUUAUCCAAAUCAUUAUUCCUUUUUCAGAAUGUCACAAGAAUCCAUCCCAAUAAUCGGUCUGCUGUUGGACGAAAUACCCUGCACGCCAAUCAGGCCUGGGUCUCCGAAGUAAUCCCUCACCUUUUCUACCCUCAGUUACCUGGGAUUCUGGACCAUUCCUAAAAUGUCAGCAGAGCUCAGACACAGGGGUAUCCCAUCUCCAGCCACUGCCAGUACUACACAGGCUCACAACGGCUCAGGCCAACAUCCCCAGGCCCGGCAUCAAGUUCACAAGGGCCACCAGCUUACUCCUCAGAUUCCAGUCAGGAGACCCGGUCGCUGUCCCUGCCAGCCUCCAAACGAUCAACAGGCUGGUAAGUGGAAUUGGCUAUAGUCACACCAGGUGUCUCGUUAAGCCUGGCAGUCCCCUCCCCUGGCGAUCUCGGUCAUACAGUCUGGCUUACCCCUCAUUUCCCUCCUCGUCCCCCACCACCCACUAUCACUACUCCAUACGUCUCACCGGCCCACUCUGUUCCAAUUUCCAUGGAGAAGGAAAUUCUCGAUGGAAAGGAUGUUAAACUAACAUCACUACUUAACUUCCCAAGACACCCUAUAGUACAAAGGUUAUAUUCAUGGUGGCAUUUCAGUAGUCCUAAAGAGUGAGACCCACGACUUAAAUCCUUCCAUUCCUCUGUUUGUCAUUGCCUCUCUCAUAGAGACAGCCACUUCCACUUCUCACCACUGCUUCACCCCACGCACUAGACGGGAGGCAGAGGGACAAGCUAGGCUGACCAUUUAAUUUCUGGGGAAGGCUCGGGUGCACCAUCACUUUAAUGCUGGGGUAUGCUAUUUCACUACAUGCAGGGUAUCGCAUAUCUGCUCCAGAGUCCACAUAUACAGACCGUCUGUCACCUAAGAUAUGCCUAACUAAGGUUAACAUUGAUAUCCUGGUAUACUAUCUGCAUUUACACCCAGCUAGGCAUCUGGUAGAUUCUAGUGCCGGGUUUCUCACAGGCCUUAUCGCCAUUCCCACAGGUACACUCGUAUGCCUAACCUAUUAUCUGCAUCCAUUGACCCUCUUAUGAUGGACCACCUUCUGUCCACAACUAUCAUACGCUGGUUUCACGGGCCCAUCCAUCUGGCCCAUCAAGACUCACUCUCAUUUCAUCAGUCCAUAAAACCUUAGAAAAAUCAGUCUUGAGAUAUUUCUUGGCCCAGUCUUGACGUUUCAGCUUGUGUGUCUUGUUCAGUGGUGGUCGUCUUUCAGCCUUUCUUACCUUGGCCAUGUCUCUGAGUAUUGCACACCUUGUGCUUUUGGGCACUCCAGUGAUGUUGCAGCUCUGAAAUAUGGCCAAACUGGUGGCAAGUGGCAUCGUGGCAGCUGCACGCUUGACUUUUCUCAGUUCACGGGCAGUUAUUUUGCGCCUUGGUUUUUCCACACGCUUCUUGCGACCCUGUUGACUAUUUUGAAUGAAACGCUUGAUUGUUCGAUGAUCACGCUUCAGAAGCUUUGCAAUUUUAAGAGUGCUGCAUCCCUCUGCAAGAUAUCUCACUAUUUUUUACUUUUCUGAGCCUGUCAAGUCCUUCUUUUGACCCAUUUUGCCAAAGGAAAGGAAGUUGCCUAAUAAUUAUGCACACCUGAUAUAGGGUGUUGAUGUCAUUAGACCACACCCCUUCUCAUUACAGAGAUGCACAUCACCUAAUAUGCUCAAUUGGUAGUAGGCUUUCGAGCCUAUACAGCUUGGAGUAAGACAACAUGCAUAAAGAGGAUGAUGUGGUCAAAAUACUCAUUUGCCUAAUAAUUCUGCACUCCCUGUAUAUCAUUUUAUUCAGGGGAAACAGUGCUAGCAAAUUAGAUUCCUUAUACUUUCGGCCUGGGAUGUCAGGCAGGUCCCGCAAAUUGUAAUUAAUAAAAUGACGUAAUUAUGUAACUGUAUUACAUAAAUAUAUAUAUGUAGAAUUAUUAUUAUAUAUAUAUAUAUACACAUAUACAUAUAUAUAUAUAUAUAUAUACAUACAUACACACACACACACACACACACACACACACACAUACAUAUAUAUAUAUAUUUGUGCUCGGAAUUUCUAAUACGUAAUGGAAUGUAGAAGGAGAAGCAAAGUUGGUAGAGGUGUGCCGAAACCAACAUACGAGUAGGCCUGUAAUAAAAGAGGGCCCACAAAGGUGAAUUGUUAAUAUAGAUGGGUGUAGGUGGGUGGGGACAAACAGCUUGCACGACAAAGGUAAGUAGGGUGGUAGGGUUUAAAUAGGAUCAUAACUCCUCCCAUAAAUUCAGGCCAAAUGGCCUUCCAACUUGUGCUCGGAAUUUCUAAUACGUAAUGGAAUGUAGAAGGAGAGGCAAAGUUGGUAGAGGUGUGCCGAAAUAAACGUACGAGUUGGUAAUAAAAGAGGGCAAAAGAGGAUUCAAAGAAAAAAUACUUUAUUGCAAGUUUAUACAGCUUGGGUACUGAAAGCUUGUAAGGAGCUUUUACUCUGAUUGAGGUAUAUAUGUAACUAAGCUGAGAAUUACCUGUUGCCCCAUCACUUAGUGAUGUAGACUGGGGUGUAAGAGCUUGAAGCUGCUGCUGCAGCGCUUUUGCGAAAAAGAGAGACCAGCGAAGGAAGCCAUGAUGUAGCUCACGUUUAGACGUGAAGUAAUGGAUUAGGACUGAUAGUGUGUGGUUGACCUUGGAUACGUAAAAGCAGAGUGACAGCAUAGGAGGUAUAAGUAAGAUGCUUGACUUGUAGGUUUAGCGGAAGAGGCAAAAAUUACCAUAGUUUAACCGCAAAAGUCUUGAAUCAAGCAAACUUUACUUGUGACAUGGUACAAAAUACAAAGCCCUGGCGUGAUUGCUAUAGUAAUCGUGAAACUGCGUGACGCAUGCGUACCUGUACUAAGUGUAAUUGUGUGCUUAGUCCAAGAUUAGCUCGUGGAAAGGAGGUAUCCUGGUUGGUAGGUAGUGGGUCAUAGGGAGUGCCUGAAAAAAGACCUUAAAUUGAGCGUGAAAGAACGUCAGCGGCUGUGUUGUAGACACCAGGAAUGUAAAAGCAGACUAAAAAGAGCGGAGAGGUUGCUGCCAGCCAAGUCAGCCUGAAAAUCGAGGAUGGGCGCUCUUGUUAAUGAUGUUGCAGGCUGCGGAGUUGUCAGAGCAGCAUUUAACUGCCUUGCCGGUCCAAAGAUGACCCCAUGUGAGGGUGGCCGCCACGAUGGGGUAGAUCUCCGACAAAGUAGAAGUCUCUCUAAAGGCCGGCAAGGCAUCCGUCACAGUGGGCCAGGCAUCCCUAACCAGUGGUUGCCUGGUGACAGAGGGACCCCGAGUGUCGUGAAAAGGAGGCUGUGGUGGUGUGAACACUGUUAGGUGUUUGUGAACCUUUUAAAUCAACAAAAAAUUCAUCCAGAUAGUGGAUGACUGAUGGACACCUGAAUAUUUUUAGGAGUGGCCAACAGAGGGUUUGUGCGAAGAUGUUGAAUACUUAGUGCUGCUCCUAGGCCAUAGUGAAGGGUGAAUAGGUGCUAGAUUAAAGGCGUUGGCUAAGUCUGUCUUGCUCAACCAGGCCUCACUACCUGCUGAAGUGAUAGCUUGCAUGGGAUCUUCGAUUUGCGCAGUGCAGGGAGAACUCCUUAGCGGGAAUGAGGGAGUUGAUGCUGGGAAUGGAUGUAGAGUGCGGUGCGGAAGAGGUCUAUGAUCCUACGUAUUAUAGGGUAUUGUGAAUGGCUGCCUCAAUGGGAUUGGUACGCCAAGAUGAGAAGUGUGAAGACCGGAAAGAGGCGAUAAAGGGCAGAGAACUCCAGUCCGACUCAGACGCCAGCAAGGUGGAGGUGGAGUACUGGUUUGGGCUGGUAUCAUCAAAGAUGAGCUUGUGGGGCCUUUUCGGGUUGAGGAUGGAGUCAAGCUCAACUCCCAGUCCUACUGCCAGUUCCUGGAAGACACCUUCUUCAAGCAGUGGUACAGGAAGAAGUCUGCAUCCUUCAAGAAAAACAUGAUUUUCAUGCAGGACAAUGCUCCAUCACACGCGUCCAAGUACUCCACAGCGUGGCUGGCAAGAAAGGGUAUAAAAGAAGAAAAUCUAAUGACAUGGCCUCCUUGUUCACCUGAUCUGAACCCCAUUGAGAACCUGUGGUCCAUCAUCAAAUGUGAGAUUUACAAGGAGGGAAAACAGUACACCUCUCUGAACAGUGUCUGGGAGGCUGUGGUUGCUGCUGCACGCAAUGUUGAUGGUGAACAGAUCAAAACACUGACAGAAUCCAUGGAUGGCAGGCUUUUGAGUGUCCUUGCAAAGAAAGGUGGCUAUAUUGGUCACUGAUUUGUUUUUGUUUUGUUUUUGAAUGUCAGAAAUGUAUAUUUGUGAAUGUUGAGAUGUUAUAUUGGUUUCACUGGUAAUAAUAAAUAAUUGAAAUGGGUAUAUAUUUGUUUUUUGUUAAGUUGCCUAAUAAUUAUGCACAGUAAUAGUCACCUGCACACACAGAUAUCCCCCUAACAUAGCUAAAACUAAAAACAAACUAAAAACUACUUCCAAAAAUAUUCAGCUUUGAUAUUAAUGAGUUUUUUGGGUUCAUUGAGAACAUGGUUGUUGUUCAAUAAUAAAAUUAAUCCUCAAAAAUACAACUUGCCUAAUAAUUCUGCACUCCCUGUAUGUAUAAUAAGUGUGGAUGCACAUAUGAAAGACGCAAAUUACGCCUGAACAGACAUAUAGCGCAAAUUCAAGUUUUUGUUUACGUUUUGAUCACAACGUGUCCUUAAGGGGUUAAAGUGAGCAGCUGCUGGCUGCUCAUGGUUUAGUAUAUAUACCCCCACAAUCAUUAAGUUUAAAAUUAGGAAACAAACAAAACAGCCUGUCCACUGACAGUUUUGUUUAUUUUGUGAUUCGGUCAUAUGGCAGUUUGGAAUUUCAGACAAUUUACUGAUGGGCCAAAAUUUGAUCAAAUUGCAUUUUUUUCCAGAAAGUGGAUGCACAAUUUUAUAAAAGUAAUUUAAAAAAUGUUGGAGGAUUUGUCCAAUGGUUCUCAUCUACACUCUCAUUCAAUGUGUCAUGUUUGGUUUAAUACAAAUAGAGCAAGUCACAAGCCACAUCUUCUUUCCCAUCAGAUAAAUGGUGGAAUGGAAACUAUAAGUUAAGUAGUCUGGCUAUCAUUCUAAUUCAAGAUGGAUAUCUACCAUUUGGCCCACCAUAGUGCCAGGAAAACAAACUCGUUUUCCUGGCACUAUGGUGCCCCCACCCUCAGGGUCCCACUACCGUAGCGAGGAAAGGGGAGGAAGGAAUUUCUACCUUUUCUCCAGCGCCGGGCUCCCUCGGCACUGGGACUCUCCUCCCUCUUUUGACGUCACUGGCUGAAUGCCCAAGCGCGGCAAGAGCCACGCGCUCGCAUUCAGCCAGUCUCAUAGGAAAGCAUUGUCAAUUUCCACAGUGAGAAGCGCGGAAGUGCCUCUAGCGGCUGUCAAUGAGACAGCCACUAGAGGCUGGAUUAACCCAUACAUUUACAGCAAAAAGGGUUAAACCUAGAUGGACCUGGCACCCAGACCACUUCAUUAUACUCCCUCUAGCAUGUAAGCUCAUUGAGCAGGGCCCUCAACCCCCUCUGUUCCUGUACGUCAGUGGUCUGAUCUCAGUUAUGUGUCUGUUAGUCCACCCAUUGUACAGCGCUACGGAAUUUGUUGGCGCUAUAUAAAUAAUAAAAUAAUAAUAAUUAAGCUGAAGUGGUCUGGGUGCCUAUAGUGGUCCUUUAAAGGACCACUAUAGUGCCCUGAGGGUGCCCCCACCCUCGUGGCACCCCUCCCGCCGGGCUGAAGUUGGAGGAAGGGGUUAAACAAUUACCUUUCUCCAGCGACGGGCUCCCUCGGCGUUGGGGACUCUCCUCCUCCUUUGGACUUCAUCGGCUGAAUGCGCAUGCGCGGCAAGAGCCACGCGCGCAUUCAGCCAGCCCAUGGAUGCUGGCGUCUUCUCACUUUGAAAAUCACAGCGAGAAGCGCGGAACCGCCUCUAGCGGCUGUCAAUGAGACAGCCACUAGAGGCUGUAUUAACCCAUAUGUAAACAUAGCAGUUUCUCUGAAACAGCUAUGUUUACAGCAGGCAGGGUUAAAGGACCACUCUAGGCACCCAGACCACUUUAGCUUAAUGAAGUGGUCUGGGUGCCAGGUCCCUCUAGGAUUAACCCUUUUUUUUAUUUUUAUUUUUUAUAAACAUAGCAGUUUCAGAGAAACUACUAUGUUUAAAAAUAGGUUUAUCCAGCCUCUAAAGCCUCUAGUGGCUGUCUCAUUGACAGCCACUAGAGGCGUUUGCAUGCUUCUCACUGUGAAAAUCACAGUGAGAAGACGCCAGCGUCCAUAGGAAAGCAUUGUAAAUGCUUUCCUAUGAGACUGGCUGAAUGCGCGCGCAGCUCCAGCCGCGCAUGCGCAUUCAGCCGGAGAGGAGGAGGAGAGCUCCCCGCUCAGCGCUGGGAAAAAAAGGUAAGAUUUAACCCUUUCCUCUCCCCAGAGCCCGGCAGGAGGGGGACCCUGAGGGUGGGGGCACACUCAGGGCACUGUAGUGCCAGGAAAACGAGUAUGUUUUCCUGGCACUACAGUGGUCCUUUAACCUUAGAGGGACCUGGCACCCAGACCCCUUCAUUGAGCUGAAGUGGUCUGGGUGCCUAUAGUGGUCCUUUAAAUGGAGGGAGUAAGAGGGACCAUAUUUCCACAUCCUGAUUAAUUAGAGGUCUGAGGGAACACUGUUUGUUUCUCAAAGUUUGUCCACCGAAGUUACUCCACCAUGCUGCGUGAAGGUCGCCGUGAUCAAUAUUUUUACUUCAAAUGAGGCAGCCUUUUUUGCAUAAUUGAGGCUGCCUCUUAAACAAUAUAACAAACAAUUAUUGCGAAAGGAAAUACCUUUCUUUUCCCCAUUCUGGCACACCAUACUUUUAUUUUUAGAACUACACUUCCUUUUCUUGGAAAGUCAUGCAACACUAUCAUGUUAACAUGUACUGACUGAUAUUGCUAUAGAAUUUGAUUCAAAAGGUGCAAAGUCCUUUGGUUUGUGUAACUUUGGAAUUUAAAGGACUUUUCCCCCCUCAAAUCAAGAACACUCUGGGCACUAUAACAACUUAAUCAAAAUAACAUUUUUAUGGUGCCAGGAGCUCCCUGGUGCUGGCUCCCAUUUAGGACUUAAACAGUUUGCUAACAAUUUAACCCCAAAGUUUGUGUUUCGGUGCAGUAUCUCCCUGCCUCUCUACCCUUCCAUUUUCUUAAAUUAGUUAAACCAGAAGGCUCUAGCAGAAUCAGGUGAUGGUGGCAAUGAUUGGCUGAGAGAGUGUUCAUCUGAUGCUUUCAACUAAUCCAUGACUUCCCGUUCAUAAAAUUGGCUUUGUAAAGGUACGUGAGCCAGUGCCAGAGAUCUCCUGCCACUAUAACAAUUAUAAUUUCAAUGGUGCCACAACUGUUUGUUUUUUUUUUGUUUUUUUUAUCUCAAUAAAGUUGUUUUGAGGCCUGGAGAUCCUGUGUGAAGUCUAAACUUAAGCUAAAUAAAGUGCUCCCAGGGAGACCAUUAUUUUUUUUGAGUCAUUGGGAAGCAUUGCAUGCUGCCAUGCCGUUAAAUGGCUGAGCGCCUCACCUGACACUCUCAGCCAAUCACUGGCACCACAUGGUUCUCAAUGAUUUCCAUCUUGCUUAGUAUGGUGUCAGAGCGGUGGGUGGGGGCCCUAAUAGGUUCCCCCCUUACUAUCAUUUUGGGUCCCCACCCACCGCUCAUAUGUGGGGGACGGGGGGAGGACAAUAGGUCAGGGGCUAGGGGGAGGGGCCUAGGUACCCCGUUCAUUGUAAUAGCCACUCACAUGGCACGGGUCGGGGUUGGGGGGAGAGUAAGCAGUCACUGUCUACUAGACAUGCCUCUACUCGCAGUAUAGUGAGUAGGGGCAGAAUUUACUAAUACUAAGUAAUCUUUUGGUAGAUAGCUCACUAAUUCCCAUGGUAUCAAGAAGCUAUCUACUAAGCGGGUGGAAGAUGCAGCCGCAGCACGAAUAGGAUUGGAGUUUCAUUCAUAUGAAUGAAAUUCCGAUACAAACAAAGUCUCUAAAUGUGUCCUUACAUGAAUGAACAAACUGUUCUCAUUCUGUUAGGACAAAAUUCUGUCGUUUUGCUGGCGUUCUGUCUAAGUGACCGGAUGUUCGGGAAUACUGACAGGAAGCAUCGCAAGAUCACGGAGGAAAGGUAAGAAUUGUGGGAAAACAGCUUUGAUCACCAGAAACGAAGCACUUUGUCUUAUGUUUUAAACAAAACUAGAGCAGACAGGAAGAAAUGAAGAACAGAUCCUGACAGAGGGAGAGAAGAGGAAUCGAUUGGGGAAAGGUAAGUUCGACAUGACAGUGCCGCUUUAAUACCUAGUAAUUCUGGUUCAGGAAACCGUUUAUAAUAACAUAAAAUAACUAAAUGAAAAAUUAGUAACACUUAAAAAUAUACAGAAACUAUAUAGUGUAAUAUUGCCACAUUUACUUGAAAAAAACUAGGCUAAAAACACUUACUUGGUAUAAAUGGGAAUCUGGCAGUCAAGUAAGACUGCAGGAUGCAGGCACAGAGCACCACAAAAAGGAACACAAUCCCACAGAGAGGGGAAAAAAAAGGUUCUGGGACUCUCUCGUGCGUCUCUCUUGGUCAUACCCCAUAACACCACUUGCAUUUUUAAUGAAAAAUUGUUGCAAUUUAAAAACCAAGUGGUUCAAUCAUUUCUAUCCAGAAAAAGACACUGAUAGAUGCAUAGCCAAGUAUUUAUGAAAACAGAAAAAUUAAGAAUGUUGGUGCAUUAAGAUAAAUAAUUGGGGUCAUAUUUUACUAGUGACCAUUGAAAUAUAUACUUUUUUAAAACUAUAUAUGUAAUUAAGAACAGAAUUAAAAAAAAUUAUAUAUAUAUAUAUAUAUAUAUAUAUAUACUUCCAUCCACAUCAUUUUUUUAAAGUAAAACCUCAGUAUAAAGAAAGAAAAAUCACCCACAAAUAAUCGUGCUGCUUAUUGAUUAUUAUUAUGUUAUUAUUUAUAUAGCGCUAACAAAUUCUGCAGCGCUUUACAAAUAGGUGGACGAACAGACAAGUAGUUGUAACCAGACAAGUUGGACACACAGGAAAAGAGGGUUUGAGGGCCUGUUCAAUGAGCUUACAUGCUAGAGGGAGUGGUGUAAAGUGACACAAAAGGUAAGGAUAGUAUUAGACUAAUGACAGUUGUAAGAGAGAAAUCAGUCGGGAGCUAUUAACAGUUUAAUUGAUACGCUUUUAUGAAGAAGUGGGUUUUUAAUGAUUUUUUGAAGGAGUGGAGACUGGGUAGGGAAGUGAGUUCCACAGGAACGGUGCAGCCCUCGAGAAGUCUUGAAGGCAAGUAUCAGAGGUGGGAGUACGGACAGAAGAUAGAUGUAAGUCUUCAGAAGAGCGUAAGGGCCUAGACGGGACAUAUAUUAGGGAGGAUAGAUAGAUGGGAGCAGCAUUAUGUAGAGAUUUGAAAGCAAGAACCAGAAUUUUAAAUUGAGCCCUAUAUCUUACAGGAAGCCAAUGUAGGGACUGACAGAAGGGUGAGGCGUGGGAGGUGCGGGCGGACAGAAAGAUGAACCUCGCCGCCACAUUCAUUAUGGCUGUAAUGGUGCACGUAAGAUCACUGAGAAGCGGAUUACAGUAGUUAAGGCUAGAAAGGACAGUGGAAUGGAUCAGCACCUUAGUCGCAUCUGGCGUUAAGUAGGGUCAGAUGUGCGCAAUGUUUUAGAGAUGGAAGUGGAAUCAAUGUAUCGUCGCCAUAGGACCAGGUUCUCCCCCCAGUUAUGACCAGACCACACGAAGAGGUCCUCCCAUCUACACAUGUAAGUGUUGGCAUAGUUUGGGGCAAACGUGGUACCCAUGGCGUUUCCCAUAAUCUGCAGGCAAAACAACCCAUCGAAGAAAAUAUAAUUAUGUUCCAGUAUAAACCUAAUUCCUAUUGAAAUAAAAGUUUUGAGACCUUGGGAGAUCUCAUUAUUCUGAUUCAUAAAAAAAUUAACUGCCUCCAAUCCCAAAUCAUAGCUGGUAACUGUAUAAAGCGAGGCCACAUCAAGUGUGGCCCAACUAUAAUUCUCUUUCCAUUCAAUAUUUUCAAUUUCUUGAAGAAAUGAUUUAGUAUCUUUUGUGUAUGAUAAAGCCUGUUGUGCAUAUUUUUGCAAAUCGAAAUCUAAAAAGGCAGACAGAUUCGCUGUGACUGAAUCUAUACCACUAAUUAUGGGGCGUCCUGGGGGGCUUGUAAAUUCUUAUGAAUUUUUGGGAUAAAAUAAAAAAAUUGGAAUCACAGGAUAUGUAUUCCACAAAAAAAAAUCUAAAUUCUUAUUAGAAAUUAUGCCCUCUUUCUUUGCUUUACCCAAAAACUCUUUCAGAGCUUUAUUAAAGACCAGUGUGGGAUCACUCUUUAGUUUUCUAUAUGGUUUUUCAUCUGCCAAGAUGUUAAAGGCUUCUUGUCGAUAGUAUUGGGAAGACAUAAUAACUAUGGCCCCACCCUUGUCUGCCUCUUUGAUAAUAAUAUCCUUUCUUGAGGUCAGAUCUUUUAAUGCCAUUUGUCCCCCCUUUGUCAAUUUUGUGUUUUCUUCCUUUUAUUUGUAUUGGAUUCAGUUAACAUAUUAAAAUCUUUUUACAGCCUAUUCUCAAAGGUCUCCAAAUGCUUGUACUGGGAAAAUUUGGAUUUAGGUUUAAAUUGUUCUUUAGAUUGUUUUUUCAGUAUUUGCAGAUGACACAGAACUCUCUAAAUUAAUACAAUGUGGGCAGGAUAUUGCUUUGCUGCAGAGGGAUUUAGACAUAUUGGGGGACUGAGCACUCAAAUGGCAGAUGAAAUUUAAUGUAGAAAAAACAAUGCACAAGAAAUUUACACCCUAAAUGGUAUUGAAUUAGGAAUAACCUAACAUAGAUUAGAUGAAUUUCACUGCUCUGGUGCGCUUGUCUAUGUUCGGUGACAUUUCCCCAAACGUAGAUAUACGCACUAGAGCAGGGAAUCCCUCUAAUCUAUGUUCGGGGAAAAUUCCCUGAACAUAGACCAGCUCUCUAGCGUGGGGAAUCCCUUGAAUCCCCACACUAGAGAGCUGGUUGUAAGUGUGUCCAUCGCAAGACAGGUAGGUCGCAAAGUGAGGGCCACCUGUACAAAUAUAUUCAGGGCCAAUACAAACUCCCUGUUACUAUCCUCCUACUCACGGUCACUGCCUCUCCACCCCCCUUCCCCCUGUCACUGCCCCUCCAUCCCCCUUCCCCCUGUUACUUCCCCUCCACCCCACCUACCUCGCUACUGCCCCUCCAUCCCCUACCCCCUGUCACUGCCCCUCCACCUCCUCUACUUCGUCACUGCCCUCCACCCCCCCUACCCCCUGUUACUGCCCUGUUACCCUGUUACUAUUCCCUGUCACUGCCCCCCUCCACCCCUACCUCCUGUCACUGCCCCAUCCCCUACCCCCUGUUACUACCCCUCCAUCCCCCUACCCCCUGUUACUACCCCUAUCCCCCAGCCUGUUACUGCCCCUCCAUCCCACUAACCUCUGUCACUGCCCCCCUACCCACUAACCUCUGUCCUGCCCCCCUUCAGGCGGCUGCACUUCCCAGUGGCCUUCCCCUCCACCCCCUGUUACUACCCGUCACUGCCCCUCCACCCCCACUACCCCGUUACUGCCCCUUACACAGCCACUCCAACCCCCACCCUGUCACAGCCCCUCAAGCCCCCACACAAUGUCUUUACCACAAUUACCCUAUCACAUUAACCCCCCUCAAUCCUGUCAGACUCACCUUCUCUUGCACUGUCGCACACAGUCCCCAACCCAGUCACACUCAUCCUCUAUCAGUCUGUUCCACUCACACCAUUCACACUGUCACACUCACCCUACCACAUAAGCCCCUCCAAACCUGUCCUCCAGCUGUGCCAAACUCACCCCAAAACCUGUAACACUCUCCCCCCAACCCUGCCGCACUCACCCUUCCACAUUUAUCUAAUCCUGCCACAUUAACCCACUUAAUCUUGUCACACUCACCAAAAAAGCCGCCCCCAAACGCCCAGGCAGAUGCUUUGUUUUCUUCAUGUCCUGGUGGGCUCGAGCUGUUCAUCUGGCAACUUUUGAGGCCCCCCAAGGCUGGCCGAAGUUUCUAUCGCGACGCUUAAUGAAGCUGGGAGCUGGAAUAUGACGUCACUCCGGCACCCGGCAUCACUAAGCGGCGCGUGAGGGAGCUGAGCAAGAAUAUUAGAGCUCCCUCGCCGCCUACUCUGCCUGUCCGCCCCCUGUCUGCACAUGAAGCAGUCCCACUGGACUGCAAGUAAGUAAUCCACUCCAUCUCUCCCAGGGAGGUUGGGUGGAUUUAAAUAAAAAUAAUAAUAAUUUGUGAGUGUUGAGGGAAAUGUAUGUCUGAGUGAAUGUGUGUGUGUCUGUAAGUGUUUAUACCUGUGAGUGAGUUAAUGUGUCUGUAAGUGAAUGUGUGUGUGUGUGUGUGUGUGUGUCUGUCAGUGUGUCAAAUCAUUGGGUGUUUAUGUCAUUGUUUGUCAGUGUAUAUGAGAGUGUGUCUGUCAAUGAGUGUAUGUGUCUGUUAUUACGUGUGUGCGUCUGAGUAAUAGUGUGUGUCUGUCAGUGUGUCAAAUCAGUGAGUGUGUGUGUAUGUCAUUGUCAGUGUAUAUGAGAGUGUGUGUGCCUGUCUGUCAGUGAAAGUAUGUGUUGGUUAAACAGUAUGUGUGCCAAUGACUGUGUAUCUUUUAGUGAGUGUAUGUCUGUGAAUGCAUUAGUAAGAAAGUGUCUGUCAAUCAAAGUACAGCCUUGACAGGAAGGGAUGGGGAAAUUUUAAAUAUGGGGGUGGGGGAGAAUCCAAAAUACACCACUGGUUAUGGUGCUGAUAAGAUUGCUAUCAACAGUGGAGUGCAUGCCCGUCAUCUAUACAAAGUAGCCUUUCUGGCAUCCUAGUGUAAACUUAAUUGAACUUUAUUAUUCUUUCUAGGUUCAGGAUUUCAUAUCUAUGCAGUUUCUACAGUUUCCCUCUUUUUUUUUUUUCUUAUAUAAUACCAGAGAUAUGCCAGGUAGUAAAUUGGACUAAAAAUACUUUGCUAUGCUACCACAAAAAUGGGUAUGGCACUAUUGACUCAACUAUUUUAUGUUUAUUUUUCCAGUACUAGCAGAACAUCAUUCAUCUAUAUAUGUUUAUGUGUGACUAAUAGAAAAAAAAAGCAUUACAUAACUAUUUCAAAUACCAUUACCACUAAAGCCUACUGAAGUGGCUAUGGUGCCAGGAGUGCGCUGGCACCCUUUCCCAUUGCAAAGAGUUUAUACUGUUUUUGAGUGGGAGCUGUAGUGGUUAUGGUGCUGUGAGUGUUGAUUUCUUAGGAAGAUGAUCUCAAACUUUAUGACUAAGACCAUACUCUGCUCAAAAAUAAUACGUGAUGUGAGAAGAACAUUCAUUUUACCAACGAGCUUGUGUCUAGCCUUAGGUGUACUGAUUAGAGCACCCAUUAGAUACAGGGUUAUUCACUAAUGUGAGAAUUCAAGGUGAAUUCAAAUUGAAUUUAAAAUUUAAGGUGAAAAUAGCUAAACUGGAAAAACUCUCUAAAUCAGUUAUGCAUUCAGUUCAUCUACUCUGGUCUUAAAUUAAAAAUUCACUUUCGAUUUCCACAUUAGUAAAUAACCCUGUUAGUGCGUGUCAGCUGCUGAAGCCACGAGGUUACAUAUUAUUUAUUGUGAACCUGUUUAAGUUGCAUUUGCAAUCGGCAGCAGAUAGAAUUAUGACAUUUUCUGUUACCUCCUCCUCCAGUUUUGCAGCCUCUGUAAAUGUGUGUCUGCAUCUGUAAACCCCCAAAUGGUUUUUCUUUUGGCGGCAUUUCACCAUGACAAAUAGAAAGCCACAUGUAAAGCAGUGUGGGAUGUAGCAUUCAAGCCAUUAUAGAAAGGCAGACAUGAGUUUUAAAUGUCAGGCCAAGUUAUCGAAACUCAUUAAUAUCACUGCUAGCCAUUAAUCCCCCCCCAUUAACAAUGUGGGCGAGAUUAGGGGUUAUAUAGUAUGGUUAGGGUUUUGUAAGAUGUAAUGGGCAGUAAUUCAUAUGGAUGUCGGCGGGGGAGGAGAGGUCACCAGCGCCGAGGGAGCCCGGCGCUGGAUUAAGGUAAGUAACUGAAGGGGUUUUAACCCCUUCAGUGCCACGGGAGGGGGACCCUGAGGGUGGGGGCACCCUCAGGGCACUAUAGUGUCAGGAAAACCGAUUUGUUUUCCUGACACUAUAGUGAUCCUUUAAAUUAUGUCCAAUCCCCAGUCAGUCACAUGGGUCCUUACCAAAAAAAAAGUGUGUCCACUCUUCCAGACAUGUAGCAGAGUGGAUGUUGGUAAAAUGGAAUUAACAUGAUGACAUUUCAUUUAUAUCUCACUCUAAGAUUGUCAGGGAUUUUUAUUUACAGUGUGAUGACAGUGAAGCUUUUAAUUACCAGCAAAUUAUGAACACCAAUGAAAAUAAAAAAGAAAACCCCUACAAACUAACAGAAAUGUGUCAGGUGCACCACAUGCAAAUUACGUUCUAGUACUUUAUUCCAGCUUUAUCAUCAACUGGGAAUUCAUUUUCAUACAUGGCGUUUGCUUGCUUCCGUAUUCUGCUAAAAAUCUCACUAACCAGUUCUUAAAGUGUUAUAGAACCUACGCUAAAACAACUGCAUUAUAGUCUUCAAUUCCAUCUGGAAGGCAGUGAUACUAAAGUACAAUUAUAGGUGGAUAUUCAGUAAAGUGAGAAUUCAAAGUUAGCAAUGCUUGCAGUUCGGCUGCUCUGGCCUUCAAAUUUACUGUUUACUUGUAAUUCUCAAUUUAGGAAGUAACCCUGUUUGUCAUCGCUGUAUUUAGUACGAGGCUGACAAGGCAUUUGCUUUGGGUGGCACUUUGAGGGAAGUGUCAAGAAAGGCCUCUCCCAAAACACCCUGGCAGAUGCCUUCUCAGCCUCUUGUCGUGGGGGCCCAAGAGGUGGCCGUCUGUCCACCUUGGGUCCUCCCGAGCAGGGCCGGACUGGGAAGGAAAUUCGGCCCGGGCAUUUUUUAAUUACAGCGGCCCACUAAAAAGGGGGCAGGGCCAGAUAGGGUGUGUUUUGUCAUCACCAAUGACAAGCAUGCCCCAUCACAAAGUGAGCAUGUUGGUUCAAUGCUCUUCCAGGGUAGACCAUGCGCAGAGCUCUGCUGAAGAUCUCUGGCAUGAGAAAAAUACCCUGUAUUUGUUCUGCACAGCGCAAGCAAAUUUAAUAACAUGCUUGCACUGUGUUUGCUUGAAAUUUGUCUCUGGUGUCUCCAUAGUUGGGAUACCAGGAGACAAAAAUGCCAGGAAAGCAUAUUGCACAGUGUGUGUGAGGGUGCUCUGUGUGUGUGUGAGAGGGGUGCAGUGUGUGUGAUGGGUGCUGUGUUUGCAUGAGGGUGCUAUGUGGGUAAGGGUGCAGUGUGUGUGAUGCAUGCAGUGUGGGUGCUGUGUGUGUGAGGGUGCAGUGUAUGCAUGUGAGGAAGCUGUGAAUGUCAGGGGUGCAGUGUGUGUGAGUGAGGGUGCUGUGAGUGUCAGGGGUGCAGUGUGUGUGUGAUGUGCGUGUCGGGUGCAGUGUGUGUGUGUGAGGGUGCUGUGAGUGUUAGGGGUGCAUUGUGUGUGUGCUGUGAGUGUGUGAGGGUGCUGUGAGUGUCAGGGGUGCAGUGUGUGAGGGUGCUGUGAGUGUCAGGGGUGCAGUGUGUGUGUGCUGUGAGUGUCAGGGGUGCAGUGUCAGGGGUGCAGGGGUGCUGUGAGUUUUAGGGUGCAGUGUGUGUGUGUGUGUGUGAGGGUGCUGUGAGUGUCAGGGGUGCAGUGUGUGUGCUGUGAGUGUUAGGGGUGCAGUGUGUGUGUGUGCUGUGAGUGUCAGGGGUGCAGUGUGUGUGCUGUGAGUGUCAGGGGUGCAGUGUGUAGGUGCAGUGUGUGUUAGUGUGUGAGUGAGGGUGCUGUGAGUGUCGGGUGCAGUGUGUGUGCUGUGAGUGUGCUGUGAGUGUCAGGGGUGCAGUGUGUGUGUGUGUGCUGUGAGUGUCAGGGGUGCAGUGUGUGUGUGCUGUGUGUCUGGGUGCUGUGAGUUAGGUGAUUAUAUCCCCCCUCCCUGCUUACCUUAUGCCUGGGAGGGGGGGGAUCNNNNNNNNNNNNNNNNNNNNNNNNNNNNNNNNNNNNNNNNNNNNNNNNNNNNNNNNNNNNNNNNNNNNNNNNNNNNNNNNNNNNNNNNNNNNNNNNNNNNGUUAGGGAUGCAGUGUGUGUGUGCUGGGAGUGUUAGGGGUGUAGUGUGUGUGUGUGUGUGUGCUGGGAGUGUUAGGGGUGCAGUGUGUGUGUGGGCUGGGAGUGUUAGGGGUGCAGUGUGUGUGUGUGCUGGGAGUGUUAGGGAUGCAGUGUGUGUGUGUGCUGGGAGUGUUAGGGGUGCAGUGUAUGUGUGUACUGGGAGUGUUAGGGGUGCAGUGUAUCUGUGAGGCUGCUGUGACCUGAGUGAUUAUUUCCCCCCUCCCUGCUUACCUUUAGCCUUGGAGGGGGGAUCCUGCUGCUGGGGCUGCAAUCCAUCCCUGGUGGUCCUUGUGGUGAGUGAACUCUAGCCUGUUGGAGGAACCCGGCGGAGCUGUAAGUUAGAGCUCCUCCGGGUUCCUCUGCUGGCAGGCAGGCUGGCUCCCUCCCUCUCUCCCCGCCGGCGGCCGCAAUAUCCUGCAUGUGGGCCGGUGAGGGAGAUCUUUGAUCUCCCCACCGGCCCGCUGUAGAAUACUGCAGGGCCGGCGCUCGGAUAGUGCCGGCCCUGCAAAGACCGGCAGGGGAGAUCCUGUGAUCUCCCUGCCGGCUUCGGCCCACGGCCACCGCAGCCCACCCGGCAUUUGCCAGUCUGGGCCUGCUCCCGAGGCUUGCAUUUGCUCUGUUUGUAGGUGGGAGGAGAGGAAGCGCUGUCUCCUGGGCUCUCCCUGUGUGCCCCGAAGUGGUGUCAGAGCCGGUAUAUGACAUUACUCCGGCCCCGGCAUCACUAAGCGGCGCGAGGGAAAAGAGCAGGAAGAGAAGAGCUCCCUCGCCACCUCCAUUGACCGUCAUCUGCUCAGCACCAUAGGAACCAGCCCAGUAGUCCCACUGGACCCCAUAAAAAUAGAGAAUCCACACUAACACUCCCAAAGGUAGGGAGGCUGGGUGGAUUGAAAUUUAAAAAGCAAAAAAAAUGCGAGUGUGUUAGUAUGAGUGUGUGUCUGUUACUGAGUGUGUGUGUCAAUUAAUGAAUGUGUGUGUCUGUCAGGGAGUGUGCAUGUGUGUCUCUCAGUGUGUAUGUGUCUGACUCUGAUUGGGUGUGUGUCUGUCAGUGAGUGUGUCUGGCACUUAGAGUGUGCGUCUGUCACUGAGUGUGUUCGUCAGUCAGUGAAUGUGUGUUUGUGUUUCUGUCCGUUAGUGUGUGUGUGUGUGUGUGUGUGUGUCUGUCAAUGAAUGUGUAUCUGUGUCCGUCAGUGUGUGUGUGUGUUGGGGGUGCCCUUGUUUCAUGCCUAGGGAAGCUGAAAAAAAUGCACCACUGCUGUAUGUGUGCUCUCAGUUAACCUCUCUCAUACCUUUUAUCAGCCUGUGGGGACCCACUGAAAUAACACGAGUUCACAAUUUGUAUAUACAGACUCAAGGUUAAUCCCUGCUUUACUGUACUGAAUUGAUUAUUUUACUGACACAUCAUGAUCACUUGCACUUUGUGGCACGUAAGGGGUUAAAACGAGCCGCUGACUUUGAUUCCUUGCAUACUGCAUUAACUCUUUGAGAGAUGGAGUAGAACAUUAAGUAGUCUUAUUUGUAUAGUUCUCAAAUAUCGUUGCAAAUUGAAGCAUCUUGUAUGAUCAUUAGAUGUAUGAGUCCAUAGGGCAAAACUUGGUCAAAUUCUUCAAGGCCCCUUCGUUUCUUAGGUCGCUUUUUGUGAUUACUCCAGCUAUGUUGCAUAAUCUGUGUAUAUAUAAUAUAUACAGAGCGUUUAAUAAUCUGCUCUAAUAUCUAACGUAACACAGCUAACUUGGGUUUUUUUUGAAUCUCCGCCCAUGGGGAAGUCCUGAUGACGCUGUUUUUUUAAGCAAGAUGUAAGAGAUGUUCACGUAACUCUGGGAUUCUGUACUACUACCACUCACAUCACGGCUACUCUAACAGUGUCUAUGGAAUGACUUGUUUUAUCUGAGAACAAAGUGGAUAUAUCUGCAUGGAAUUAAGGACACAAUUUACUCUGUUCCUUUAUCACUCCGUAAUGAGUGCACUGUCAGCAUCUGCAAGAGCAAGUCAACGCUGCAAAACCCUGGAACUGUGAAAUGUAAGUAUAUCCCAAUCUAUAAAAAGAAACGUUUACAGUUUAUCUUUCCCCGAG
rnacentral:lncRNA from 1 species